UUGUAUUCCUUAGGACUAGCCUUUCUCUUCUUCUCCUCACUCUAACCCAAGCCAAACUCUUUUUGUGCAAACUUUGACUUUGUUUCAAAUUAGAAACCUAGGCCUUAUGCCUUUGACUUUUCAAACUCAUUUUCAUCAAUACUCAUUGUGAAUAAAUUUUAAUCCAACUUUGAUUUCAUUUUUGUAAAUAAAUCUAACUUGUAAAUACAACUCACUUCAAGUUGAUUUUGUGGUUCCAAUGGCCACCUUUGUUAAAACCUUUUCAUAAACAUUAGUCAUAGGUUUGAGUUAUCAUAGUGGUUAAUGUAAAUCUCACCUCAUCCUUAGUGAUUGGAUUAUAAGUAUUCCAUACUUAUUAUAGGGUUAGCCCCUCACUAGUAUGUUGAAGCCUUCCUCACAUGGUGGAUUGUUGGUUUAGGUUGAGUUUUCUCCCUUUGAUAACAAAAGACCUUAAGGCUUUUGAUCAAAUCAAUUCAUCAAUCUUUGAGAUUUUUACCCCGUUACUACGAGGUUUUUGUCCUCCUUUGUAGAUGGUACGUAGCAGUGUUAAUCAUUCAACAAAAAUUGUACAAUAUAAUCCAUUCUCUUUCUCAUCCCUCAAUCCUGCCACUAUUUUCACAAAUACCAACUAUAACCACACGCUUUGAAAAGCGAGGUUCCCUUUGUCUGAUGGAUGUAUUUGGCGUCGCGUGAAACCUUCCAUUUCAUAACCACCCCCAUUACCUAACCUCUGAAAAUUUUUAUUAAUUUUGAAUUUGAUAAAACUUCUUACUUGGCUUUUGUUCGCUUUUUGCCUUUCUCUUCGACAAAUAAAAGUGCGGUGGCGAUCGAAUUGUAUGUUUACUUUUGGUUUAGUCAAAUAAACCUAAACGGUAAUUGAACACCCCGCGUACAAAAAAGCUGGCGACUACUGGCUGGGGAUAAAUUCACGUCUCCUAGUGGGUUAGCCUACUUCUUUGCUUGUAUGUGUUGUAUCGUUUAUAUUUAUUUCGGUGAACAUAUUUUUGUGCAAAUUUCGGGAUUGACUGUAUUCGUUGUGUGACUGUAUGUUAAUUUGGCUUGAUAUUUAAUUGCUUGUAUGGCUUGGGGUUUCUGUGGAUGAUUCUUACCCGAACUUGAGUGCACUUAUGAUAGGGAAUGGCAUAGUCUUAUUGACUUGUGUGGAGUUAUUCCUUAGCAAGUUGACUUGCAAGCCCAUUCACUUGGUGGAGGUCUUGUUGGGAUCAAUAAUGUCACACGAGUAGUCGUGGUUAGGCAUUACUAUUUCCAAUAUAAACCUUAGAAGCCAAAGACCUUAGAUACCUAGCCUAUUUUAGAACGUAGUGCGAAGGUCGUUCAAGUGUAAGAUUUGAUACGAUUGUUAUGCGAUACUACACUCAUAAGAGUCCCUCUUGAGAAUAUUUUUGGAAUACGAGUAGUCGUUCUAUCCGAUAAUAUCCGAAAGAUGAGAUGAUGACUAUGGGGACCUUUUUAGAACAUGAUUGUCAGGUUUAACCAUAAUACACUCCCAUUAGGUGGUUCUUAACCGAGACUCCAUGCUCGUGACUUACAACAAACCCUUGAUUUGCGGUUGAUCCGUUCUCGUAUAUUCUCAAUAUCAAUGGAACUUGGGUGUUGAUAAGGUAUAAACCAUAAUCCACCAAAAUGGAUGAUUGAUAUUGACAAUGACGUGAACCAUCCCGUGACCUUUGUGUGGUGUGACUUGCUUGAUCCUUGAGUGAGAUUGUUGCAUCCAUGCAGUCAUUUGCAUCCAUAUCAUCAACAAUAAAGAAUCUUCAAGGAACUUAAGAGGUCUAUUUGCAAAUUUUCAGACAUGGAUAAGCAAAGAAGGAAUACGAAGAAGUACAGUUUCAGACAACCCGACUUGAAAGAUUUAAGGAGUUUGGCAUCUUAUGUAUUAGAGCCUUUGGAGUUCAAAGCCUUCCAUGGGAAGCUUCUGUCUGUUCUUUCUACCAAAGUGGAUGAAGGUCUGAUGAGUGUGUUGGUGCAGUUCUAUGAUCCUCUGUAUCAGUGCUUCACUUUUCCGAAUUUCUAGCUUCUGCCUAUACUUGAGGAGUAUGCCUAUCAUGUGGGUAUACCUAUUCUUGAUUAGUUGUCGUUCAGUGGUUUAGAGAAGAUUCCGUCUUCUCAAGAGUUUGCUGGCGUGCUUCAUAUGGAUGUAUCUGAUAUUAGUGCCAAUAUGACUACCAAAGGUGGAAUUCAAGGUCUCCCAUCUGAUUUUCUCAUUGCCAAAGCUACCUUGUUUGGGAAGGCCAUGAGUGAGGACACCUUUGAAGCCAUUUUUUUACUUCUCAUCUAUGGGCUAGUGUUAUUUCCCAACAUCGACAACUUCGUGGAUGUGAACGCUAUUAGGAUUUUCUCUUCUCUUAAUCCCAUUCUGACUCUGUUGGGUGACACUUAUUUCUCUUUGCAUAUGAGGAAUGCAAAGGGUGGUGGUUCCAUUGUGUGAUGUAUGCCUCUGUUGUACAAGUGGUUUAUUUCGCACUUGCCUCAGACACUUACCUUCAAGGAGAACAAGGGAUGUCUACGGUGGUCUGCGAGACUUAUGUCUCUCACUAAUGAUGAUACUUCUUGGUAUAACCGUGUUUAUGAUGACGUUCAGAUUAUUGACUCUUGUGGUGAAUUCUCCAAUGUGCCUCUUCUCGGUACAUGUGGUGGAAUUAACUACAACUCUGUUUUGGCUCGUCGUCAGCUUUGGUUCCCCUUAAAGGAUAAACCUAACAACAUUUUGUUGGAAGGCUUAUUCUUUCAAGAGGGUAAAGAUCCCCAAAAUUUGAAGGAUCAGAUGGUCCGCGUCUAGCGCAAGGUUCAUAGGAAGGGAAGGAAGGAGCUUGUUCCAAAGAUUUGUAUUGCUUUGGAACCCUACACCGCUUGGGUGAGGAAGAGAGCUCUUGAAUACCGCAUGCCAUAUGAUUAUCCGAGACCUACCCCUAUGGUUAUGGUUGGGCCUUCAACCCUCCCUAACCAAGGAGUAGAGGAGUUGAGAGAUGAAGACCAAUCGCGUGCAUGAGUUCAUGAGCGUGAGGAACUUCUUCAGUAGCUCAAAGAUAAGGAUGCAAUGAUAGAUAUUCUAGAGCAUCAGGUUAUUGAUGAGCCUGAUGAUAUGGUUACUUCUCUUCUUCCUCACUCAUCUAGGUUUUGGAAGAGGAAGUAUGAUCAGCUUGCUAAGGAGAAAGCCGACAUGGAAGCAGCUUAUGAGAGAGAGGUGAAGAGGCUUCGUGCAGCUUAUCUUCCGAUUUUGAGGGCUUUGGACGAUUGUUUCUUGGGAUUCAUAGGAUGUUCAUUUUCCUUUUCUCUUGUAUUGUAUUUGGUUACCAGAACUGUACUACUUCUUUGGUGUAAAAUUUUCCAAAUAUUAUUGCUAUGAGUAUUCCAUAUAUGUCUUAAAAGAUUAAUAUUUUCAAAUAGUUGCAAAUAGAUCUCUAUAAAGUUCCUCUGAUUAAAAAACAAACCAUAUGCACAAACAUUGCAUGCAUCAUAUGCAUAAGCAGGUUUUGUUCUGAGCUCUUGAUCAGUGGUCUAACUCUUUGCUCUUCAUUUAUUUUGAAGACAAGCUGACGCACCGGUAUAAUACCAGAGAAAACAUUGCAUGCAUCAUAUGCAUAAGCAGGUUUUGUUCUGAGCUCUUGAUCAGUGGUCUAACUCUUUGCUCUUCAUUUAUUUUGAAGACAAGCUGACGCACCGGUAUAAUACCAGAGCCAAUCAUCCGAGGAUAACGGAGCACUUAGAGCAAGAGAACCUGGAAUUGAAGGAAUAGAUUGCUAGGUUGACCGCCAUGAUGGAGUCAGUUCUGGCAGCGCAGAGCCAAACUUCACCAACUCCCGCAACUCCUCCCGCGAGGACUGUUAUAUCAGAGAUAGCGACUUAAACGGUGCCCGCUGCAACAACUCAUUUCGCUCCGUCUAUGCCAGUCGGGUUCCCUUGGGGAAUGCCUGCUAAUUUUGUGCCAGAGGGUUUUGCUCCUACUCUCGCUUCUCUGCCGGCAUCUAGCCCGGUCCUGUCUGUGCCACCUCCCGUUGUGCACACCUUUCCCCGUGUUGAAGACACCAUCUAUCAUUCUGAGUCCUCUGAGAGCCCAAAUGUUUAUGAGAAGAUAGAUGAGAUGAAAGACCAAUUCCUUGAGCUGCGCAAGGAACUAAAGAUUAUGAGGGGUAAGGACCUCUUUGGUAAGAGUGAUGCUGAGUUGUGCCUAGUGCCCAACAUGAAGAUCCCUGUUAAAUUCAAAGUACCUGACUUUGAGAAAUAUAAGGGAAAUAAAUGCCCACUCAGCCAUCUUGUGAUGUAUGCUCGCAAGAUGUCAACACAGACCGAUAACGACCAACUUCUUAUCCACUAUUUUCAGGAUAGCCUGACUGGUGCUGCGCUCCGGUGGUAUAUGGGGCUGGAAAGUGCAAGCAUCCGCUCUUUCAAAGAUUUAGGCGAGGCCUUCGUCAAGCAGUACAAAUAUAAUAUGGAUAUGGCUCCAGAAAGGGACCAAUUGAGGGUGAUGUCGCAGAAGGACAAGGAGACCUUCAAGGAGUACGCCCAGAGAUGGCGAGAGCUGGCCGCUUAGAUAUUGCCACCCCUAGAAGAGAAGGAGAUGACAAAUAUCUUUUUGAAGACUUUGAGCUCUUUCUAUUAUGAAAGAAUGAUUGUCAGUGCUCCCUCAGACUUCACCGAAAUGGUGAAUAUGGGGAUGAGAUUGGAAGAAGGGGUCUGUGAAGGACGAUUAUCCAAAGAAGACAUCUCCUCAACAAAGAAGUAUGGAGGCUUUGCGAGGAAGUAGGAGGGAGAGACCCAUGUUGUGUCCUCCCAUAUCAAAAGAAGGCCCUCUGUAAGGAGGAAGGAUGUGCGCCCUGCCAUUAACCAACACUAGGUGGCUCACAUAGCACCUGCUUUUAGAGAAGUACAACAACAACAACAACAACGUCGUCCACAACAGCAGGCCUACCAGCCUCGAAACAACAAUAACACCAACACCAACAACUACGAGAGGAAGAGGGUCACUUUUGAUCCGAUUCCAAUGACAUAUGCUGAGCUCUAUCCUUCUUUUAUCGAUAGAAAGCUGAUAACUCCACGAGAUGCUACUGCUGGUCCCACCAAUCCUCAGUGGUGGUAUAAGCCAGAGUUUCAUUGUGUAUAUCAUUCCGGUGCUCCCGGGCAUGACGUGGAGAAGUGUUACCCGUUGAAGACCAAGGUGCAAGACCUUGUGAGAAGUGGUAUAUUGUUUUUCUAGGACGUAGGUCCUAAUGUUAAGAAGAACCCAUUGCCCGAGCAUGGGAAAGCAGUUGUUAACAUGGUCCAGGGAUGCCCUGGAAAAUAUAAAGUCCUGUAUGUGAAUGACAUAAGGCAAUCUUUGGUCGAGAUGCAUAAGCUAUUGUGUGAACACAAUCACUACGAGCAUGACCAUGAUAGGUUCCAGGUGUGCACUAUCAACGAGAGAGGAUGCCGUCAAGUUAGAAAGGACAUCCAAGAGAUGAUUGAUCAGGGAAUGAUUGAAAUACUUCAGAAUCGUAAUGAGGACGAAGUCGAUGUUAUAACCCCGGUGUUUAAAAUUCCUGAGCCUGUUGUCGUCAAGUAUGAUGGCAGCAAGAAGAAGGUAUCUCCAACUCUUGUGAUCAAGCCAGCGGGUCCUGUCCCGUAUUCAUCAGACAAAGUUGUUCCCUAUCGAUACAACACAGUCAUGCUAGAAGAUGGGAAGGAGGUUCCGUUUCCCUCAACCUCUGUUGUUAGCAUUUCAGACGUUAGUGGUGUGACCCGUAGUGGUCGUGUUUUCUCGGCGCAGCCGAAAUCCCAUGAAGAUGUUGUGAAGAGAACUGCUGUUAAUCCUGCCAGUCUUGUGGGGACUUCUUCUUCAAACAAUUUUGUACCUGUUGUGAAGGGUGUUGACCCUGUUGCUAUCAAGAAUAAUAACGCUCCUAUCCCGGUUGGCCAGUCUGGCAUUUUAAAAGAGGAUGGUGAUGAGAUGUUAAGGCUCAUCAAAAGGAGUGAAUACAAUGUUGUUAAUCAGCUGCUACAAACUCCAUCAAAGAUAUAUGUCUUAUCUUUGUUGAUGAAUUCAGAGCCACACCGUGAAGCUUGGUAGAGGUUAUUGGACUUGGCAUACAUGGACCACGAUGUCACAAUUGAGCAGUUUGAUAGCAUUGUUGCAAAUAUAACCGCUUGCAACAAUUUGAGCUUCUGUGAUGCUGAUCUUCCCGAGGAGGGAAAAGACCACAAUUUGGCUCUACACAUAUCUAUGAACUGUAAGGAUGAUGCCUUGUCCAAUGUGUUGGUGGACACAGGAUCAUCUCUCAAUGUGUUGCCAAAAUCCACUCUUGCCAAACUUUCAUAUCAGGGGCCUCCCAUGAGGCAGAGUGGAGUGGUUGUGAAGGCGUUUGAUGGAUCGUGCAAAACUGUGAUCGGCGAAUUAGAACUCCCGGUCAAGAUCGGACCUAGUGAUUUCCAUAUCACUUUCCAGGUCAUGGAUAUUCAUCCGUCUUACAGCUGUUUUCUUGGCAGACCAUGGAUUCACGAAGCAGGCGCCGUGACAUCCACCCUACACCAAAAGUUGAAGUUUAUGAAAAACAAGAAGUUGGUGGUGAUAGGGGGAGAGAAGGCUCUCUUGGUCAAACAUUUAUCUUCCUUAUCCUAUAUUGAAUGUGAGGAUGAGGUUGGGACUCCGUUCCAAGCCUUAUCUAUUGUUGAGCCUUCGAGGAAAAGACUUUCUUCAUUUGUCUCCUACAAUGAUGCGAAGUUGGCCAUUGAGCAUGGUGCAACGACUGGUUUGGGGAAAAUGAUCAAGUUAGAAGAUAAUAAGUCUCGAGCUGGCAUAGGGUAUUCUUCCGGUGUUUCCAAUGAGCGUGGGCUGUUCCAGAGUGGAGGUUUCAUCCAUACCGUUGAAGAUCAGGAAACUGCUACCAUUGUCGAAGAAGAUGAAGAGGAAGACCUUGGCAACUUUAUCAUACCUGGCGGAAUCUGCAAUAAUUGGGUCGCUGUUGAUGUUCCAACGGUUAUCCAUAAGUCAACGUAAUGUGUUUAUUUUCCUUAAAAACCCUUCUCCCAUGCCAAAAGGAGAAGUGAUGACAUUGAUUGGCACAAUUUGGUUAAUACAAUGAUAUUCAUUCAAUAAUCACAAGCUAAAUGUUUGUUUUUCCAAAAUUAUUUUUCCUUUUUGAUUUUUUGCAUGAAAUUGGUGAUCACCAUAAAACCCUAAAAAAGAGAAUAAAAUCAAUCUUUUCAGCUGCAUAAUGAUUUGCCUUUGUUUAAAUUUUGAAAUCUCUUUUUAUACUCAAAAUCAUUAUGCAGGUUAAUCAAACCCAUUGAACAUAAUGAUCCAACACCAUCUCCCAACUUUGAGUUCCCUAUAUUUGAGGCAGAAGAAGAUGAUGUUGAAGAGAUUCCUGAUGAAAAUCAUUAUGCAGGUUAAUCAAACCCAUUGAACAUAAUGAUCCAACACCAUCUCCCAACUUUGAGUUCCCUAUAUUUGAGGCAGAAGAAGAUGAUGUUGAAGAGAUUCCUGAUGAGAUUACCCGUCUUCUUGAGCACGAGGAGAAGAUCAUUCAGCUGCAUCUUGAGAAUCUGGAAACAGUCAACUUGGGGUCUGAAGACUGCGUUCGUGAAGUGAAGAUUGGGGCACUUCUUGAAGAGUCUGUUAAGAAGGGGUUGAUUGAGUUUCUAUGAGAAUAUGUCGACGUCUUUGCCUGGUCGUAUGAAGACAUGCCUGGUCUAGAUACUGAUAUUGUGCAACAUUUUUUGUCGUUGAAGCCUGAGUGUGUGCCUGUGAAGCAGAAGCUCAGAAGAACUCAUCCUGAUAUGGCAGUGAAGAUUAAAGAAGAAGUUCAUAAGCAAAUUGAUGUGGGGCUUCUGGUGACUUCUAUAUAUCCUCAAUGGGUGGCCAAUAUUGUGCUUGUGCCUAAGAAAGAUGGAAAAGUCCGAAUGUGUGUGGAUUACCAUGACUUGAAUAAAGCUAGUCCGAAAGCUGAUUUUCCUCUACCACACAUUGAUAUGUUGGUAGACAAUCUGGCUAAAUUCAAUGUCUUCUCAUUUAUGGACGGAUUUUUCGGUUAUAAUCAGAUUAAAAUGGAACUUGGGUGUUGAUAAGGUAUAAACCAUAAUCCACCAAAAUGGAUGAUUGAUAUUGACAAUGACGUGAACCAUCUCGUGACCUUUGUGUGGUGUGACUUGCUUGAUCCUUGAGUAUGAUUGUUGCAUCCAUGCAUUCAUGCAUUCAUUUGCAUCCAUAUCAUCAACAAUAAAGAAUCUUCAAGGAACUUAAGAGGUCUAUUUGCAAAUUCUCAGACAUGGAUAAGCAAAGAAGGAAUACGAAGAAGUACAGUUUCAGAUAACCCGACUCGAAAGAGUUAAGGAGUUUGGCAUCUUAUGUAUUAGAGCCUUUGGAGUUCAAAGCUUGCCAUGGGAAGCUUCUGUCUAUUCUUUCUACCAAAGUGGAUGAAGGUCAGAUGAGUGUGUUGGUGCAGUUCUAUGAUCCUCUAUAUCGGUGCUUCACUUUUCCGGAUUUUCAGCUUCUGCCUACACUUGAGGAGUAUGCCUAUCAUGUGGGUAUACCUAUUCUUGAUCAGUUUCCAUUCAGUGGUUUAGAGAAGAUUAUGUCUUCUCAAGAGAUUGCUGACAUGCUUCAUAUGGAUGUAUCUGAUAUUAGUGCCAAUAUGACUACCAAAGGUGGAAUUCAAGGUCUCCCAUUUGAUUUUCUCAUUGCCAAAGCUACCUUGUUUGGGAAGGCCAUGAGUGAGGACGCCUUUGAAGCCAUAUUUGUACUUCUCAUCUAUGGGCUAGUGUUAUUUUCCAACAUCGACAACUUCGUGGAUGUGAACGCUAUUAGGAUUUUCUCUUCUCUUAAUCCCGUUCCGACUCUAUUGGGUGACACUUAUUUUUCUUUGCAUAUGAGGAAUGCAAAGGGUGGUGGUUCCAUUGUGUGAUGUCUGCCUCUGUUGUACAAGUGGUUUAUUUCGCACUUGCCUUAGACACCUCCCUUCAAGGAGAACAAGGGAUGUCUACGGUGGUCUGUGAGACUUAUGUCUCUCAUUAAUGAUGAUAUAUCUUGGUAUAACCGUGUUUAUGAUGGCGUUCAUAUUAUUGACUCUUGUGGUGAAUUCUCCAAUGUGCCUCUUCUCGGUACAUGUGGUGGAAUGAACUACAACCCUGUUUUGGCUCGCCGUCAGCUUAGGAUCCCCUUAAAGGAUAAACCUAACUACAUUUUGUUGGAAGGCUUAUUCUUUCAAGAGGGUAAAGAUCCCCAGAAUUUGAAGGAUAAGACGGUUCGUGCCUGGCGCAAGCUUCAUAGGAAGGGAAGGAAGGAGCUUUGUCCGAAGAAUUCUAUUGCUUUGGAACCCUACACCGCUUGGGUGAGGAAGAGAGCUCUUGAAUACCGCAUGCCAUAUGAUUAUCCGAGACCUACCCCUAUGGUUAUGGUUGGGCCUUCAACCCUCGCUAACCAAAGAGUAGAGGAGUUGAGAGAUGAAGACCAGUCGCGUGCAUGAGUUCGUGAGCGUGAGGAACUUCUUCAGCAGCUCAAAGAUAAGGAUGCAGUGAUAGAAUUUCUAGAGCAUUAGGUUAUUGAUGAGCCUGAUGAUGUGGUUACUUCUCUUCUUCCUCACUCAUCCAGGUUUUGGAAGAGGAAGUAUGAUCAGCUUGCUAAGGAGAAAACCGACAUGGAAGCAGCUUAUGAGAGAGAGGUGAAGAGGCUUCGUGCAGCUUAUCUUCCGAUUUUGAGGGCUUUGGACGAUUUCUUCUAGGGCUCCAUAGGAUGUUCAUUCUCCUUUUCUCUUGUAUUAUAUCCGUUUCUCUCUCAAUUUUGCUCAAUUCUCUUGAUUCUUUGGUUGUCUGAAGUCCUACCAAUAUAGGCAAGAAGAUUGAGUUGUUUAGAGGUCAAAUUGAAGCAACUCAGUUGACAUACCUCAAAAUUUAACUCCUCAUAUCUUUCUAUAUGUGAGGAGUUAGUUAAAAUUGAGGUGAUAUUCGUGAUCUACACCAUUUUUCCUUUCAGAUCAUGUCCUCUUUUUUCAUUUUUGAUGUGUUGAUGAAUGGACAAGUCCGGCCAAGGUCGCCUGAGAAGACGACCGACACUUUGCUCCGGCAAUGAGGUGGCAAGGUCCAGAGCCAUUAGAUUGAUUCAAAAUGUUUUAAUCAAGAACGUUGCUUGUGAUGACCAAGUGUGUGGCGCGCUGACUAGCGUGUACCAUGGACCGCGCGUUUCUCACCACUUGAUCUGCCACCUCAAUUAAUGAGGCAGAUCAAGUGGUCCACGUUUUUUUGAUUUUCUGAUUUUAAUUUUUAUUCCUUUGAUUUUCAUUAAUUCAUAUUAAUUUUAAUAUUGACACAAAUAUGAGAGUUUCACCCAAAUUUUCAAAUAUUUUUCCUCUUUCAUAUUCUAAAUUAAAAUUUUUUUGAUCAUUAUUAAUAUUUUCAUGAUUUAAUUGAUUUUCAUUUGUGUUUUAUUGUUUAAAAAUACUUUUAAGUCUUCUAAAAUUCUGAAUUUUUUCUUCCAAGGUCCUUUGACAUUGUUUGCCUAUGAUAAAUCUUAUGGUUAUUUAUUGGUGUUUUGAUGAGGUUUUAGGAAUUUGACAAACCAUAUUUAAUUUAAAUGUAUUAUUUUAGUAUUUUUAAUUGGAAUAAAUGCCAAAUAAUUUUGUUGACCAAUUGUGAUGACUUGUUGAUGUUUGACUCUUGUUGUUGGGCCUUGGUCAAGGUUGAUUUGACUUUGUCAAAUUAAUAUCAUUGGAUUUAGGGGAUUGAUGGAAUGUACAUUCCAUAUCCCAAAAUGAAUGAAUAAUAUUAAUUUGGUAAAAGUCCUCCUUUGAUCAAUUUGAGAUUUCAUCUAUUCCCCUCCCUCUUCAUCUCAUUCCCCUUCUUUAUGCAUUCAUCUCUUUUGGCCUAUGAUAUCUCAAAGUCCUAAAGCUAAUUGAUUGAAAAAUUAACAUGAGUAUGAAUGAGAUUAGGUAUAACCUUUUGCAUAUUCGUUUUGUGUGUGGUAUGUUUCAUGAGCAUAGUUCAUAAUACUAUGUCUCUAACAUGCAUUAACACCAAAAUUCUAUUGCCCAACCUCAAAUAGUUGUGACUUCUACAUAAGUCCAAUUACGAUUGCUUAACAUAGCGCUAAAUUUGUGGAAAUAAAAGGCAUAGGCAUUCUUAGUUAGUGAGAUUGUAAGUCUCCCUUCUUUCAUGGUAUUGUAUAGAAACGUUUCCUUUUUCCUUUCCUUUGGAAGAUGUCUUGGUUCAAAGAUCCAUGCUUGUGAUUAAGUGGGUUGAGUGUUCUCCAAAGAAUGUCUUAGAAUGAAAAGCAAAAACAAAACACAAUACUAACUUCUAACCUAUUAACUACUAACUUUUAAUUUCAAGCCCUUUACUUUAAUGCCAUUUAAUUCUAGCUUUUAUACAUUUGCCAUUGUUCAUAUCAUUCUAAUUGUUUAUGUUAAUGCAAUUUUCACUUUGUCCACUUGUACCAUAUUGUGUGAUAUUUUUUGUUUGUGUAUACUUUGCUUGUUUGUGUGGUCUUUGACCAUUAACGUACAUAAUAAUAACAAAAACCCUAAACAACUUUUGUAUGGACUAUUGGCUUGAUCUUGGACAAAUGGACUUAGAAUUUAGGCAACAUUCCUAUGCUAAAGGACUUGGCCAAUGCCAACUUAUUGAGAACCAAGUGCUUGCAAUUUGAACUUCAUCUGAUACAUCUUUGAAGACCUCUCUAAAUUCAUAUGCAAUAUGAUCAUUGUGAAGCUGUUAUUUUGAACCCGUGACUUGUGGAAUUCAUCUGUUACAUGGGCUAUUUUGGAGAAGAUCAUGGAAUGGAUAAGCUUGGAUGUGGCCAUCUUUAUUUGAUGCCUUGCUCUUCAAGAUAAUAUGAUUGUGCAUUUGUGUGUUGCUUGAUUCUAAAAGUCCAAGGGAAUUCUUUGUUUCUAUUGACAUUCUUGUCUAUUGGAUUGCUACCCAUUUGGUCAGAUCUUUUCAACUCUAAACUUUUUAUUUUGUACAUAGGACUAGUCUCUUCAUUUUCUCCCCAUUUAUUUAAUUUCAAAAUAUCUCCCUCCUUUUUCAAAAUCGUCUUUGAUUGAACUUAUUUUUGUUCUAAACUUUGACCACUUUUGCAAAAAAGAUAGAAACUUUGGUCUUAUGCCAUUGCAUUUUCAAACUUAUUUUCUUAAAUCAAACUUGUAAAUAGACUUAACUAUACUUGACUUAAACUUCCAAAAAUCCAAAAAGAACUAACUCAUUCAAACCAUUUUUUAGGCCUUUGUGCCUUUCAAACUUAAUUUUGGUUAAAAGCAAUGUAUCCACUUUAAAGUUUGUAUCACGAACUACGAGGUUUGAUCCUCAUUUUUAUGUUGAUACGUAGGCACAAGACCAAAGGUCUUGCGAAACACAAAAAUAUAAUUAAUGAAUUCUUUUCUCAUCCCCCCAUUCUAUUUGUCUGUAAACAUCACUUUGUACCAAAUACAUAUGCACACAAAAAGGGCUCCGUAGGAGUACCUAGGACACAUUGGGUGCUAACACCUUCCCUCUGUGUAACCAACCCCCUUACAUGUAAUCUCUGACAUUUUAUUAGUUUUGAUUUGAAAACUUUUACUUUUGAGUUUUGUUUGUACUUUUUCCCUUUUCCCUUGGAAACAAUAAAAGCACGGUGCCAACUCUUGUUAUUUGAUCUCUAGCUUAUCCAUAACUUGAUGAUCAUGAAUUUACCGCUACAGAAAUUAAGUGGCGACUCUGCUGGGGAGUAGUCUCCAGUGGUUUUAGCCUACUUUUUGUGUGUAUAUAUUUAUGUGAUAUUUGUAUAUAUGUAUAUGUGAUAUAAUCUGCUUGUUGUGCUUGGUGAUCUUUGAGUGGUGAGAUAAGUUCUAACCCGAACUUGAGUUCAAUUAAGAUAGGAGGAUGGUAUAGUCAUGUUUGACUUGUGUGGAGUAGUCCUUAACAAGUUGGCUUGAGAUCCAACUGCUCAGUGGAGACUCUUUUGGAUUUGGAAAUGUCACACAAGUAUUUAUGGUUAGGCAUUACUAUCUCUAAUUUAGGUCUGGGAAGCUGAGGACCAUAGAACAUUUACCCCCUCUUGGCCUAUUUAGGAAGUAGUGCAGAAACUGUUAAAGUGUAGACUUGAUAACAGUUGUUACGCGAUACUACACUCAGACGAGUUUCUCUUGAGAAUAUUAUGGGUCGAUGAGUCGGUCAUCUUAACCUGUAAUAUCCGAUAAAUGGAAUUAAGACUCUGGGAAAUUUUUAGAACAUGAUCUAUAGGUUUUUAUCCUUAAUACACUCCUUUGGAAUGGUUCUUACCCAGACUUCAUGCUCGUGACUCUCAAUAAACCCUUGAUUCUUGGUUGAUCCAAUCAAGUCUUAUCAAUGUCAAUGGAACUUGGGUGUCGAUAAGGUGUAAACCAUAAUCCACCAAAAUGGAUGAUUGAUCUUGACAAUGACUUGAUUCAUCCCUUGACCUUUGUUUGUCUUGUGUGUGAUCCCUUAUUUGUGAUUGAACGUAAGUACGUAAGUACCGCAUCAUAACAUUCAUCACACAAAAAUUUCAAGGAACUGAGGUAUUAUUUGCAAAUAUUUUCAGACCAUGGACUGUGGACGAAGGAACACUAAGAAGUACAGUUUCAUAUGUCCCGACUUGAAAGAUUUAAGGAAGCUAGCAUCUUUUGUAUUAGAUCCCUUGGACUUCAAACAAUGUCAUGGGAAGCUUCUGUCUAUCUUGUCUGCUGAUGUGGUUGAAGGACUUUUGAGUGUGCUAGUGCAGUUCUAUGAUUCUCUCUACCGCUGUUUCACUUUCCCAGAUUUUCAGCUUGUGCCUACCUUAGAGGAGUAUUCUCAUCUUUUGGGGAUACCUGUUUCUAGUAGAGUGCCUUUUAAUGGAUUGGAGGAGAUUCCCCGGUCUAAUCUUAUUGCUGAAGCUCUUCACUUGAAGAAGUCUUAGAUAGAGGCUCAUUGGGUGAAGAAAGGAGCGUUAUUUGGGUUGCCAUCUUAUUUCCUCAUCAAAGAAGCUACUACUUUUGCUCAAGCCGGUAGUGUGGACACUUUUGAAGCUAUCUUUGUAUUGCUCGUCUAUGGAUUAACUUUGUUCCCUAACCUUGACGGUUUUGUUGGUGCUAACGCCAUUAGACUUUUCUUGAUUGGGAAUCAUGUGCCUACUUUGUUGGGUGAUAUGUAUUUCUCUUUGCAUAUAAGGAAUUCUAAGGGUGGUGGAACAAUUGUCUAUUGUAUUCCUCUCCUGUACAAGUGGUUUAUUUCGCACUUGCCUCAGACACCUGCUUUUAUGGAGAACAAACAAUGUCUAAGGUGGUCUCAGACACUUAUGUCUCUCACUAAUGAUGAUAUAGUUUGGUAUGAUCCGUCUUUGAGCAGUUUGGAGAUUAUUGAUAGUUGUGCACUUAAGAGAUUACAGCCUCUCAUUGGUACACAAGGAGGAAUUAACUACAAUCCUGCUUUGGCUCGUCGUCAACUUGGGUUCCCCUUGAGAGACAAGCCUAAUAACACUUUGUUAGAAGGUCUUUUCUAUCAAGAGGGUAAAGAUCCCCAAAAUUUGAAGUAGAAGAUUGUGCAUGCUUGGCAUAAUGUGCAUAGGAAAGGAAGAUCCGAGUUUGGUCCAUGCAAUUGUGUAGCUUUGGAAGCUUACACUCUUUGGGUGAAGAAGAAAGCUUUGGAGUUGAAGAUGCCUUAUCCUUAUGAAAGACCUAUGUCUAUGGUUGUGGUUGAGCCAUUAACUCUCCCUAACCAAGAUGUAGAGGAGUUGGAAGACGCGCUCAUCAAGAUGAAGCAAGAGAAGACAUGUGGGAAGAGCGUUUCCGUGCUUUGAGCAAGAAGCAUGAAGAGUUGCAGUUGGAGUCUAAGGACAAAGAUGCACCUAUUGAGCUACUUAAAGAUCGAGUGACGAAGAGACAGAGAGAGCCAUAGGUUUCAUCUUUUAGCAUGCCUCAGCCUUCCGUUGCUUGGAAGAAGAUUGUUGACCAUCUUGUCCUCGAGAAGACUCAAAUGAAGGCUUCUUUUGAGACUGAGAUCCGUCACAUUCGAAGAAAGUACGCACCUACAGCCAGAUCUUCUGACAUUGUUGUUAGGGAUCCUUAGGAUGACUAGUCUCCUUUUCUCUUGUAUUUUUAUUUUGGUUUCUGAAAUUAUACUCAGUGUAAUCCUUCUAAUUUACAUAAAUAAAAAGAGAUUUUUGGUCAUAUCAAAUUGUUUCAAUUGCCAUUUAAAUAUAUAUAUAUUUUUGAAAAUGAUAUAGUAAGUUCCUUGAAAAUAAAAAUAAUCAAGCAUUGCAUCUCAUGCAUCAUUUGCAUAAGCAUGUUUUUGCCAGAUGUCUGAUUGGUAUUUCUUCUAUGCUUUAGCCAAGCUGACUCACCGGUAUAAUACCCGAGCCAAUCAUCUGAGAAUCAUGGAGCACCUAGAGCAAGAGAACAGAGGGCUGAAGGACGAAAUCGCCCGCCUGACUACCAUGAUGGACUCAGUUCUUUCCGCUCAGAGUCAAUCUUCUCCAACGCCUGCAACUCCUCCUGCGAGGACUGUCAUUUCAGAGGUGGCUACCUCUACCAUGCCCGCUGGUGCCGCCCAUUUCGCACCAACUAUGCUUGUCGGAUUCCCGUGGGGAAUGUCAUCCAACUUUUUACCUGAAGGUUUCACGCCUACCUUUGCUUCCAUGCCACAUCUAGCCCAUUCAUGUCUGUGCCACCUCCUGUUGUGCAUACUUUGCCUCGUGUAGAGGACACCAUCUAUCACUCCGAGCCGUCUGAGGGUCCGGAGUUGUUGCGGUUGUUGUUGUUGACGUUGUUGUUGUUGAACUGGUGUUGUUUGUUGAUUAGAAAAUACCGGGAUAACGGAAGAUACUUAAUGACGAUGAUGUUGACGGGAUGAUUGAUUUCUUCUGAUCUGAGGCCUCCUCUGCCUCCCACUAGAAAUCGCAUUCGUCUCACUGCCUUUCUUCUUACCAAAAUUGCUACUAUACCUCUUGCUUGUUGAUGCCUCAUCUCUUGAAAAACGUCCCUCUCAAACUCUUUCUUCAAGCCUCAUCCCCAUGUUUACCGUUUUGGUAAAGUCACUGGGGGCACUAGCAAUCAUUCGUUCAUAGUAAAAUAAACUCAGAGUUUUCAAGAAAAUCUUUGUCAUUUCUUUUUCCUCCAAAGGAGGAGUGAUCUGGGCAGCCAACUCCCUCCAUCGCUGCGCAUACUCUUUGAAUGUCUCUUUCUCCUUCUGAGACAUGGACCUCAGCUGGUCUCUAUCUGGCGCCAUGUCCACAUUAUACUUAUACUGCUUGAUAAAAGCCUCCCCCAAGUCAUUGAAAGUGCGAAUGCUGGCACUGUCCAAUCCCAUGUACCAACGAAGCGCGAUGCCGGUCAGACUAUCUUGGAAGUAGUGAAUAAGCAAUUGAUCAUUGUCGAUUUGAGUAAACAUCUUGCGAGCAUACAUCACAAGAUGACUGAGCGGACAAGAGUUCCCCUUAUACUUCUCAAGUUCAUGCACUUUGAACUUCACCGGGAUCUUGACGUUGGGCACCAAACACACUCGGCAUCAUCAUCAUCAUUAAGUAUCUUCAGUUAUCCGGUAUUUUCUAAUCAACAAACAACACCAGUUCAACAACAACAAUGUCAAUAACAACAACCGCAACAACGAACGAACACCUACAACAACAACAACAAUACCAACAACAAUAAGCAAUAAAACUUUGAGAGGAAAAAGGUCUCUUUCGACCCGAUUCUAAUGUCUUACGCAGAGCUUUAUCCAUCCUUGGUUCUCAAGAAACCUGCCAUAGAUUCCAGAACCACUUCCUUGGUGGUAUAAACCUGAGCUCCGUUGUGCUUUUCAUCAAGGAGCACCUGGACAUGAUAUUGAAAAUUGUUAUCCGCUUAAGUAUGAGGUUCAGAAGCUGGUGAAGAGUGGUAUGGUGUCCUUCGAGGACCGUGCGCCGAAUGUGAAAGCAAACUUGUUGCCCGCUCAUGGGAACUCUUCUGUGAAUAUGGUGGAUGGUUGUCCUGGGGAAUUUAAAGUUUUUGAUGUGCGUUUUAUCAGGAGAUCCUUAGUACAGAUGCAUAAGGAUGUUUGUUUGGUAAGUGAAUCUGAGCACGACCAUGAUGGUUGUGUUGUAUGUAGUGUUAACCCGAGGGGUUGCGAAGUUAUGAAAAAGGAUAUCCAACGACUGAUGGAUGAAGGCAUAAUCCAAAUUGUUCAAUCCCAUCCUGCAGAUGAUGAUGUUAAUGUCAUAGUGCCUGUUUUCAAGCAGCCUGAGAAGUUGGUGAUUCAGUAUGACUCCAGUAACAACAACAGUCAAAGAUCAAUAUCGUUGUUGGUAAUACGAUUAGCGGGCCCAGUCCCGUAUUCAUCUGAUAAAGCUGUGUCGUAUCAAUAUAAUGCUACAAUGAUGCAGGAUGGUCAAGAGGUCCCGUUACCUACGACUAGUUUAGUGGUGAGCAUUGCUGAUGUUACUAAGGUGACCCGCAGUGGUCGAGUGUUUGGGUCGGUGUUCCCAAAGGAUAAAGAAGAAGCGGUUGUGAGUAAGAAAGUGGAAGUGCCUUUUUAAAGUCCAAUUGGUUAUUCAAAAGAUAAGUCUGGUGAAUCCAGCAACUUGAAACCCAAUGAUGAUGAUGAGGUACUUCGGUUGAUUAAAAGGAGUGAGUUUAAUGUGGUAGAGCAGCUGCUCCAAACCCCCUAAAAAAUCUUAGUGUUGUCUCUGCUCAUGAACUCUGAAGCGCACAGAGAAUCACUACAGAGAGUUCUGGAACAAGCUUUUGUAGAACAUGAUGUUACAGUGGAUCAAUUUGAUCAUAUUAUGGCUAACAUCACUUCUUGCAAUAAUCUUAGCUUUUGUGAUGAAGAACUCCCUGAGGAGGGAAGAAAUCAUAAUCUGGCUUUGCACAUUUCUAUGAAUUGCAAAGAAGAUACUUUAUCAAAUGUUCUUGUUGACACUGGUUCAUCGCUGAAUGUACUCCCGAAGUUAACUUUGUCAAAGUUGUCAUAUCAAGGAGCGUCUAUGAGGUACAAUGGUGUAAUCGUCAAAGCUUUUGACGGUUCACGCAAGACAGUUAUUAGUGAAGUGGACCUUCCAGUUAAGAUAGGUCCGAGUGAUUUUCAAAUUACUUUUCAAGUAAUGGAUAUUCACCCGGCCUACAGUUGCUUGUUGGGAAGGCCAUGGAUCCAUGAGGCAGGAGUUGUUACCUCCACAUUGCACCAGAAGCUCAAAUUUGUGAAGAAUGGCAAGCUAGUGAUUGUUGGUGGAGAGAAGGCGUUGUUGGUUAGCCAUUUGUCAUAUUUCUCUUAUGUGGAAGCUGAGGAUGAGGUUGGAACUCCAUUCCAAGCCUUAUCUAUUGCUGCUGAGAAGAGAAUUGGGGCACCUAUGUCCUCAUUGAAAGAUGCUCAAAGGAUUGUGGAAGAAGGCAAUGUCGAUCAGUGGGGCCGCAUGGUAGAGGUCUCCGAAAAUAAAGGCGGAACCGGUUUGGGGUUCCAGAAAGGUUCAUCAACUGCAAGGUCUAAAGAUAUGGAACUUAGCUUCCGUAGUGGGGUUCAUUCAUGGCAAUGAACAACACUUAGCUGUUGUGCUAGAGGAUGAUGAAGAGGAAGACUGCACCAAUUUUGUGACGCAUGGAAAGGAUUGUAACAAUUCGACUACUGUUGAUAUUCCUGUUAUUUUGCAUCGAUCUAAGUAAUUACUUUUAUAUGUUUUAAAAUCCUUCUCCUAUGCCUAAGGGAGAAGUGAACAUUGUUUGGGCAUUUUCAAAUUGAUCAUCAAUAAAAUUAAUUCUAUUCAUCCACAUCUAUGAUGUUUAUUUUUAACUUUUUGCUUUAUUCUGAAAAUGGUAACUCACAAAAAAAAAAAAAAAAAAUUCCAUCUGCAUAAUAUUUGGUCACAAAUUCACUUCUCUAAAAUCAAAAUAUCAAAUCAUUAUGCAGGUUGGUUCCUAACCCCAUUGAAUACAAUGAUCCUUCUCCUUCUCCAAAUUUUGAAUUCCCCGUGUUUGAGGCCGAGGAGGAAAGUGAUGUAGAAGUAAGUGAUGAAUUAUCUCGUCUUCUUGAGCAAGAUGAAAAGACCAUUCAGCCUUUUGAAGAGCAAGCCGAGUUAGUCAACUUGGGUUCUGAGGAUGAUGUGAAGGAAGUCAAGAUUGGGUCUCGACUGUGUCCAGAAGUCAAGAAGGGGUUGAUUGAUCUUCUUCGAGAGUAUUCAGAUGUGUUUGCUUGGUCGUAUCAAGAGAUGCAUGGGUUGGAUUCGGAGAUUGUAGAGCAUAGAUUGCCGUUAAAGCCAAAAUGCCUGCCAGUCAAGCAGAAGUUGAGAAGGACGCAUCCUGAUAUGGCUGUGAAGAUCAAAGAGGAAGUGCAGAAGCAGAUUGAUGCCGAUUUCCUUGUAUCCACUGAAUAUCCGAAAUGGGUGGCCAAUAUUGUGCCUAUUCCGAAGAAAGACGGAAAGGUCCGCAUGUGUGUUGACUAUAGAGAUUUGAAUAAAGCCAUUCUGAAAGAUGAUUUCCUUCUGCCACACAUUGAUAUGUUGGUAGACAAUACUGCUAAAUUCAAAGUCUUUUCGUUUAUGGAUGAAUUUUCUGGAUAUAAUCAGAUCAAGAUUGCUCCCAAAGAUAUGGAGAAGACCACAUUCAUUACACCUUGGGAAACAUUCUGUUAUAGAGUGAUGCCUUUCGGUCUAAAGAAUGCUGGUGCGAUUUACCAGAGAGCAAUGACUACUCUUUUUCAUGAUAUGAUGUAUAAAGAGAUCGAAGUAUAUGUCGAUGACAUGAUUGCUAAAUCCAUUAAUGAAGAGGAACAUGUUGAGCAUUUAUUGAAGCUAUUCCAGCGUUUGAGGAAAUAUAAACUCCGCUUGAAUCCCAAUAAGUGUACUUUUGGUGUUCGUUCUGGUAAGUUGUUGGGCUUUAUUGUCAACGAGAAGGGUAUUGAAGUUCAUCCUGCCAAGGUCAAAGAAAUACAAGAGAUGCCAGCGCCCAAAACUGAGAAGCAAGUCAGAGGUUUUCUCGGCCGCUUGAAUUAUAUUUCCAAAUUCAUUUCCCACAUGACUGCCACAUGUGCGCCUAUAUUCAAGCUUCUUCGAAAAGAUCAGUCUUGUGAUUGGACCGAAGACUGCCAGAAAGCUUUUGACAGUAUCAAGGAAUAUUUGCUUGAACAUCCAAUUUUGUCUCCACCUGUUGAAGGAAGACCGUUGACCAUGUAUCUGACUGUGCUCGAUGAGAGUAUGGGUUGUGUUCUUGGUCAGCAAGAUGAGACUGGAAAGAAAGAAUUUGCAAUUUACUACCUCAGUAAGAAGUUCACCAACUGUGAGACCCGGUAUUCUAUGCUUGAGAAAACUUGUUGCGCAUUGGCUUGGGCUGCUAAGCGUCUGCGUUAGUAUAUGUUGAAUCAUACCACUUGGUUGAUAUCCAAAAUGGAUCCGAUCAAGUAUAUUUUUGAGAAGCCUGCUUUAACUGGGAGAAUUUCCCGUUGGCAGAUGUUGUUAUCAGAGUAUGAUAUCGAAUACCGAUCUCAGAAAGCGAUCAAAGGUAGUAUCUUGGCUGACCAUUUGGCUCACCAACCGAUUGCGUAGCAGAUACCAGUCAGUGUUAAUUGACUUUUCGGAUAAGAUAUUUCUGUUACUUGAAAUGAAAGAUUGUGAUGAACCAUGCUUGAAGAAGGCCAUAACCUGUUCCCGUUGGGGCAUGAUAUUUGAUUGGAGCUGUUAAUCAAUAUGGAAAUGAUUGAGGCAGUCGAUUAUUACUCCUCAAGGCACGCAUCUACCAUUUACAGCUAGAUUGACUUUCAAGUGUACAAAUAACAUGGCAGAAUAUGAAGCUUGCAUUAUGGGGCUUGAAGAGGCCAUGAAUCUCAGAAUCAAGUAUUUGGAUGUCUUAGGAGAUUCCGCUUUGGUUGUGAAUCAAAUCAAAGGUGAGUGGGAGACAAAUCAACCCGAUUUAAUACCAUAUAGAGAUUAUGUGAGGAGGAUUUCAACUUUCUUUACAAAGGUUGAGUUCCAUCAUAUCCCUCAAGAUGAAAACUGGAUGGCAGAUGCUCUUGCAACGUUGGCUUUGAUGAUUGUAGUGAAGUAUUGGAAUGAAGUUACCAAUUUGUCUGUGAUGCGUCUUGAUAGACCAGCUCAUGUGUUUGUUGUUGAAGAGAUUAAAGAUGAGAAGCCAUGGUAUUACGACAUCAAAUGUUUCCUCCAAAAUCAGAUUUACCCGCCUAGGGCAUCUUUGAAAGAUAAGAAGACUUUGAGAAGAUUAACCAACAAUUUCUACUUGAAUGGUGAUAUAUUGUACAAGAGAAACUUCGACAUGGUUUUGCUCAAAUGCGUAGAUAGACACGAAGCAGACUUGUUGAUGACCGAAGUGCACGAAGGUUCCUUUGGUACUCAUUCCAAUGGACAUGCAAUGGCGAAGAAGAUGUUGCGAGCAGGUUACUAUUGGCUGAAAAUGGAAUCUGACUGUUGCAAAUUUGUGAAGAAGUUCCACAAGUGUCAAAUUUAUGCUAAUAAGAUUCAUGUUCCUCCGACACUACUGAAUGUUAUCUCUUCCCCGUGGCCCUUCUCUAUGUGGGGAAUUGAUGUGAUUGGGAUGAUCGAACCCAAAGCUUCGAAUGGACAUCGUUUCAUUUUGGUGGCAUUUGACUACUUCACAAAAUGGGUGGAAGCGGCAUCAUAUGCAAAUGUAACCAAGCAAGUUGUUGUGAGGUUUAUCAAGAAUCAGAUUAUAUGCCGUUAUGGUGUGCCAAGUAAGAUCAUUACUGACAAUGGAUCAAACUUGAAUAAUAAUAUGGUGGAAGCUCUUUGCAAAGACUUCAAGAUUGCACAUCAUAAUUCUUCUCCCUACAGACCCAAGAUGAAUGGGGCUGUUGAAGCUGCGAAUAAGAACAUCAAGAAGAUCAUUCAGAAGAUGGUUGUCAUAUACAAGGAUUGGCAUGAGAUGCUUCCAUUUGCUUUGCACGGGUAUCGUACAUCCAUCCGCACUUCAACAGGGGAAACCCCUUUUUCUCUUGUGUAUGGUAUGGAAGUAGUGCUCCCCGUAGAGGUUGAGAUUCCUUCGUUAUGCGUGCUUAUGGAAGCCAAGUUGACUGAGGUUGAAUUGUGUCAGACCAGGUAUGAUCAACUGAAUUUGAUUGAAGAAAAGAGAUUGACUGCCAUGUGUUAUAGUUAGUUAUAUCAGCAAAGGAUGAAGAAAGCUUUUGAUAAGAAGGUCAGACCUCGUGUGUUCAGAGAAGGUGACCUUGUGCUCAAGAAGAUUUUAUCAUUCAAACCUGAUUCUAGAGGAAAAUGAACUCCUAAUUAUGAAGGCCUUGUAGCAGGGUAUUCGUUACCAUUAGAGAUAUUGACUAAAUCUAAGGUAAACCAUACAAGUCGAGUCGCCACCACACUUCUAUUUAUCCAAAGGAAUGGUUAGAAAGCGAACAAAAACCUAAAAGUUUUAUCGAAUCAAAAACUAGUAAAAGAGUCAGAGAUCUGGGUAAGGGGGUUGGUUAUGCAAUGGGAAGGUGUUAAGCACCCAAAACAUCCUAGGUACUCCUAGGGAGCCCUUUUCAUCUUUGUUGUAAGGCUGGUAUUUUGUGAAAAUUUGUUUGUGCAAACAUGAUUGAAGAGAUGAGAAGAGAAUAUACAAGUUUAUUUACAUUUGUGUUUGGAUGGAUAAACCUAUUGCCUACGUACCAUCUUAAAAAAGAUUAGGAUCAAAACCUCGUAGUUCGGGGUAAAAAUCUCAAAAUGAGUUGGUGAAUUGAUUGGUCCAAAAGCCUUAAGGUCUUUUGUUAUCAAAGGGAGAAAACUCAACCUAAAACCACAAAUCCACCAUGUGAGGAUAACUUCAACAUGCUAGUGAGGGGUUAACCCUAUAAUAAGCAUGGAAGACUCAUUGUCCAUCACUAAGGAUAUAGGUGAGUAUUACAUCUACCUCAAGGAUAACUCAAACCUAAUAGCUAAAGGUUAUGAUUUUUUUUUAAUAAGAAGUGGCCAUUGGAACCACAAAAAGUAUUUGGAUGAGUUAUAUUUACCAAUGAAAAGUAUUUACAAAAUAUAGUCAAAGUUGAUUUAAAAGUUCAAUUCAAAAUAAGUAUUAUGAAAAGAAAGUUUGAAAAUCAAAAGCAUAAGGCUUAGGUUUCUAAUGUUUGAAAAGAAGUGUUAAAUGUUUGCACAAAAGUUUUGGCUUGGGUUAGAGUGGAGAGAAUAAGAAGAAUGGCUAAGGUCCUAAUCGUAUAAGAGAUAAGGGAUAAGAAACAAGACCACAAAUGGAGUUCCUCUCUUGAGAUCAUAUUGAUGAUCCAAGUAGCUCCCAUUCUUUGGAAUAUGCAAGCAAAAUAAUAGUAAGCUCAAGCAAUCAACAAUCAAACAAGCUCUUGGAAAGUUCCUCAAUGGUUCUUAGAUCUCUCUCUCUUAGAAGCUCAUGACAAUGGUUCCUCACUUAGGCUCAAAUGUUGGAAUCCCUAGCACAAGAACACACACAUUAAAAAGUUCUAUCAAACAAAUCAAGAAUGAACAAGCAAGAGUUUAGAAAUUUGUCCUUCCAAAGUUCUCUUUAGCAUUUAUAUCAUUCUAAAUGCCCAAUGCCUAGUUGCCCUUUGACUUUUAUAGCACUCUAAAGGCCCAAUGCCUAGUUGCUCUUUGACUCCAAAUUUGCAUAGGGGGAAGUCCUAAAGUCUAAGUCCAUUUGUCCAUUUCUUUGCAUUUGGUCCACAACAAUCAAAACAAAACACAAGCACAAUGAUAUAUACACAAUUAUGUGCUCAAGUGAGCAAAAGGAAAAUUGCAUUAACAUAAACAUGUGCUCACAGACAAAGGAAAAGCUAAUGAAAAUAUUAACAAAAGUAAAUUGCCAACAUGUAAACAAGAAUAAUGUAAUGUAUGUUAUGUUAAUAUUAGUGACAUAAGAAAAGUAGCGUUUGUAAGCAUCGUAAUACUUAUAGAAUUUACCCACUCUCUAAGCGUCGGUCAAUAUAAAUGUAGGCAACAACACAAGUAACGGUCUGAUAGUGGAUCAAACUCCAACAACUUGCCAUGCCAAAAAGAAGAUGAGAAAUGAUCUUGUAUUGAUUUAGGUCCUUUGCAUGAUUUAGAAAGCAAUCUAUCCUUAAUGAAAAGCCAUUCACUUCAUCCAUGAUCAAGAUGAAUUAGAUUUGAAUCAAGGAAGAUUAAACCUCCCUAAUCAAUGAUAACCAUCAAUCUUUAACUCAUUGAUCAAAAAAAGAAAAAGAAGAAGGAGAAGAAGAAGAUGAAGAAUUAAAGUGCAUAUAAUGGAAAUGUCAUGUACUAAUCAACAAAUGUUGACCAAAGAUAGGGAAGAUCAAGGUCAAACAAUAGAAAACAGAAGCAAGAUGAAGAUUAGACGUCAAGAAACAAGUCAAAUAUUUUUUGAAUUUUUAAUAUUUAAAAUAAAACUUGAAUUAAAAUAAUAAAGAAAGGUCAAACUUCAAACUCACUUCAAAUCAACUUUGAAAAGUCCAAGUGAAUUAUCCGAAGUUCAACAUGGUCAAACAAAGUUUGACAAAAAAUUUCAGCAUUUUUAGAAGUCAUAAACUAUUUUAAAUCAAUUAAAAAUGCAUAAUUUAUUGGAUUAACUUAAUUUUAGAGUUUAUUUAGAGUUUAGAAUUAAUAAAUUGAUGAGAAUAUUUUUCAUAGAUCUAUCAUCAUUCAAAGAGGUUGGAAAAAUAUUUUUGUAAUUUUUGAAUAUCAAAAACUAUUUAAAAUGAAUUAAAAAUGACCAGAAAAGAGAAAAUUACUAAAAAGAGAAAUAAUGCAAUUGGUCCCAUAAUUUUUGGACCAAUAAUGAGAGAGAUAUGAAUUUUUGAAAAUGAAAUGGAAUUAAAAAAUAAAAGAAAAUAGAAAUCGGAAAAUAAAAAUAAGAAAAAAGGAGAAGCGUUGGAUGAUGGCUCAUUAAUUGAGCUGGCACAUAACAUGGCUCCUGAGCGCGUUUCCACCAAGUUCCUUAGUCAAUGCAUCACACAUGGCCAAUUGAAAAGUCAUAACAUUGGGUGGAGGAGAUCUAAUUUGGAAACACAAACGCACAAUCCAGAUUUGAUCUGGAGACCAGACGGUGGCCAGCGCCACCGUCUUCUCCGGCUAGCUCCGGCGAAGGCCAAAAAUUACAAGGAAAUAAAUGUGAACCAAAACGCGCGAUCCAGGUACCAAACGAAAGGUGGAGUGAUGUACAUCGCUCCUAUGCCACUCAAUUCCAUUCUAGAUAUCUAGAUUGAGAGAAAUCAGAGAUGGAAGUUUUGUGGUGUUCAAGUGAACUUGCUUGAUUUUGAAAAUUAAAAGCAUGAAAUGAUUGCCUCUAUGAAGAGGACUUCAGCCAACACCAAAACAACAAGACAGAGAUGGAAGUUUUGUGGUGUUCAAGUGAACUUGCUUGAUUUUGAAAAUUAAAAGCAUGAAAUGAUUGCCUCUAUGAAGAGGACUUCAGCCAACACCAAAACAACAAGAAACAAGCAAUAUAUGAAUUGAUUCGAAGAAAUCAAAAUCAGAAAUAAACCUUUGAUUUGCAGAGCUUGGAUUCAAGAUUCCUUGGUGCUAAAGCUUGCAAUUCACUUUAUGGAUGAAGGAGAAGAGGUCUAGGAACUUUUAGAUCUAAGAAAACAGUCGAGGAAACUGAAUUCUAGAUCUGAAAUUUUGAGAGAAAAGAGAGAGUUCCUUUGGUGUGGGUGAUGGGAUUUCAGUUGCACAACAUGUAGGGCGCCUUAAGGUUGAAGAAAUGAGAGGCCAAGCACUUCUAUAUAUAGCAAAUGGCAAUGGAGAAGCAUGAACAAAGCAUUGCAUGGGAGAAGAGGGCCUCCAUGCAUGGGCAUGUACAUGUACAUGGAGGGCCCAAUUCAUAUUGGAAUUGCAAGAUAUACAUCACCAAAUAUGAAUUGGAUGUGCAGAUUGGAUGUUAAUGGAUCAUGCAUGGCAAUUGGAAUGGUUUUCAUAAAAUGCACUAUUACAUUAAAGCCUUCGAAAAUGCCAUGUCCAAAAUCAAAAUGCAACCGUAUGAGUAAUGGUUGGAAAGCUUGUUGUAUAAGGAACAAAUGUCAUGUUGAUCAAAACUUCGUUUGGGCCUUGGAAAAUAAUGAAAUUUGAGCUUGAAGUGUAGGGUGCAAAAGAUGCAUUUGUGAAAUUUCAAAAAUUGGCCAAUGUUCAAGCCCUUCUGUCUCAGUGAUACAAGCUCCAAAUGACAAAAUCUUAAACAUGAAAGUUAUAGAUAUUUUCAAGGCAAUCAAUUUGGACUUAAAUUUUGCAUCAUUUGGAUUUUUUAUGAAUAAGUUAUGGGUACUUGAAGUUGGACUUUUUCACAUUUCAAGGCAUUUGGUCCAAAGUGACCUAUAAUGUUUUGCAUUAUCACAUGUAUUUCUUUUGAGAUUUUGCAAUUUUGCUCAACAUAACAUUUUAAGUAGACACAAUAAUAUUUCCAAUUAAUUAAGUCUCACCUCAAAAUCAAGAAAAAUGAAUGAGUUAUGUUCUUGGGAAGUUGACCCAAAAUUAGGGUUUCAAUCAAAAUGACCUAUAAUGUCUUGGAAUGGAUGAUGACCUUCCAAGCUUCAAAUCAAAUUUUGAUGAACAUUAAAGUUGUUCAUAUGGUUCUUAAGAACAUGUUUUCUCUUGGGGUCAUCUCCAUUUGACAAACACAUUAAAAGUUAGGUCUCAGUGCAUUUCAAAAUAGUCAAAUGAAUUGACUGACCAACUUCUCAAGUCCAAAGCUCAUAUUUUGAUGAAUUGAUGAUUGAGGAAACUCAAUUAAGUUCAAAUAUGUAUUAAAUGAUGAAUUAAAGAACUUCCCUUGAUUGUAUUUGACCAUGGGUUGAGGUUGCUUCAUGAGCAAGGCAUUAUUGAUGAACAGAUGAAUUAUGAUUUCCUUGGGAAACAAGCCUCAAACCCCUUGAUUUGCUUUGAUCAAAAUGAUGAAUUGAGACAUUUGGGAGGCAUAUUUGAUGGAUGAGAGCUUUGGGAACCAUUUCCAUGUUUGCUUUCAUUUCUUCUUGACCAUAUCAUUGCACAUAGGAUCUCCUAGAAGCUUUUGACCUUGUGACUGCUCAAGCUACAAACAAGAGAUGUUAGUGACAUAUUUUUGUGCUUUUGGUUAGUAAAUAAAAUGAGAAAAGCAAUAAUGUACAAUUCAAGCAUGCUUGGUGAUCUCAAACCAACUCACAAGAGAUCCCACCCAAAGGCAAAGGGAACCAAGAUGCUUAUGAUCCUUGAGGCAAUGUAAAUGCAAUGUUAUGAUGCUAUGAGGGAUCUUAGGGUCAAAAUUAGGGUCUUAUAGGCCUAUAUGUUGUUAAGAGAGCCUUUUCAGGCAGUGCAUUAAUACUUACAACUAUGGAUGGUGAAGAGUUUACUCGUCCUGUGAACGCAGAUGCAGUCAAGAAAUACUUCGUCUAAAAAAGAAAAGAACAACUCACUAAGUUGAAAACCCGAAAGGGCGAUCCAGGUAAAAAUUAGAGACAUAAAACAGAAAGAAUUUCCCGAUAAAUUGAGUACCCCACCUUGGGGAAACUUAUGCAAAAAUUAGGGAUUAUGGCAAGUAACUGCAUUAUGCUGAUCUUCAGUGUUUUGAAGACUUGUUUGAGCAUAAGGGUUGACAUCAAUUCAUCAUCCCGGCGGCGGUCGAGAGCACAUUGGAUAUUAAGAGUUGGUAGAAAGAUUAAGGAUCAUUCAUAUUCAAUGUAACCCUUUUCCAUGUAAAUUACCAUUUUCAGCUUUGUAAAAAAAUCUACGGAGUCUUGUCAUUUACAUACUACCAUUCUAUCAAAUAAAGUUGAGCUUUUAUCCAAUUGUUUCUACUCUUAUUUACUUCAGCCAAUAGCUUAAAUUUUAUUAUGAUCCUUUUUUGAAAAUUUAAAGUUUUUAAAGUUUUUUUCUUAAAACAUAUAAAAGCAAGGACUUUCCAAAGCAAUUGAAAGAAAUAUCAACAAUAUUCUGAUGGAUAACAAGUCCUUGAGUGUGAAACAUCAGAGGUUCCCCAAGCAGUUAAACCUUCGGGUAUCCCUAGACGAUUGUGUUGAUUCAAUUCCUCAACGGAAUUUUUGAUUCCCCAAUAGAGCUUCUUUCCUUUUUCUUAGCUGAGUUGGUUGAUUCAGGUACCCUGCGACUUGUCUCCCUCGACAGAGUUUCUGCCUUCCCCAGUGGAGUUUGGUUUCCGUCAGCAGAAAUGGUCGAUCUCCCCAAUAGAUCGCAUUGGUUUCCCCCACCAAUCGCCAAUCAACUUGCUCCCCAGUCAGAGUUUCCUCCUGGUUCCUAAGCAGUUUAUUUCCCUGUAGGGUUGUCUCCCAUGUUUAUGGUGUUGACCUAAAAUUCCCCACAGGUUCGGUGAUAUCUCUCCUCAGCAGAUCUCCUCUUUCCCCAGUUAGGGUUGAGCCUUUUUGGAUUGUUGAUCUCUCUGUUCUCCAACAGUUGUCUCCAUAUUUUGUCGAUUGACCGAGGAUUGUACCGAUGAUUCAAUUUCUUUGCGACACCUUUGUAUCCUUUGUGAUCGUCCUUGUCAGCAUAAUCAUCAUAUACAUAUACAUUCAUAUAAUUUCAUAUUUACAUAUUUGCAUAUCUGAUUAAAUUAUUGGUUUGAGAUUCUCAUUCCCUGUAUGGCGGUACUUUAUCCCCAUACAAAUUUCGGUGUUUUUCCUCCCUUAAUUGUAGAGCGUCAGCCCCUUAGGCAGAAAGACUUUAACCUUUCUCCUCUUCCCCAUUGAGUUUGUUUCCUCGUGGAUGAUUAUUAUUUCAGUUUCCUCCCCAGUUGUUUAUCUGGAUGGAACCACUCCCCUUGAGUUAUGUCCUCAUUGGGUUGAGUCUUGAUUGACUGUUUCUUUCUAGCUCCUACCUAGAUAGAUACUUUGAAUUCCCUAAGAGUCUAUUGCCCAGUAACUGGUAAUAUUCUUCUUAGUUUGCAGUUUGUUAUUUCUUGCCAAAUACCCGGCAAAAGUGUCCCAGUAGUAGAGUCCCCAACGGAUCUGAUUCCCCAGGAAGUAUAUCCUUGAUAUGUUCACCCUAACCGAUGACGAAUUUUCUUCCCUGUUGAGUUUAUCCUUGAUAUGUUCAUCUUAACCGAUGACGGAUACUCUCACCCUUGGUCUUCUGCCCAGUAACUGGUAGUUGUAAAUCCUAUUUUCUGCAGUUUUCCCCAGCAAGGCUAUUCUUACCCAGUAACCGGUAAUUAAUUUCCUUCUGUUAUUUCCCAGCGAGUCAUCCUUGAUAUGUUCAUCCUAACCGAUGACGGAUGUUCUCUCUAUCAGAUUUUUAUUAUCUCCUUACCCAGUAACAGGCAGUAGAUGGUAGAUUUCUGCUCCUCCCGCGUUGAAGUUUAUUCCUCCCCAGCUGAGUUGAGUGCGUAUUUCCUUAGUGAAAUCGCUUUCCCUGCAUGACUCAAGUAUUUUAGUUUUAUCCUGACUUACUCGUAUCCCCUGUAGAUGUUGUUAGCUCCCCGGCUGAGUCUUUUCCAUGUUUGUAUGGAAUCCCUCGAGUCCCCCAGUAGUUUUAAGUCGUAGCCUGGCCUGCGCAUAACUCUUUUAUCCCCUAGAGUCUCUGUCUCCCCAGUAAGUUUUCCUUACGGAAUGCAUAAUACUCCCGCGGACCUUCGGUUUCUCUGAUUUCUUUUCCUUUGUGGCAAUAUUUCCCCACAAAUGAAUUUACUUUUGCAUUCAUAUCAUAUGCAUCACGAGGUCUCUUAGGGACCAAAAUUGGUUUCUAUAUGUUGUUAUUUAAGCCCAUUCUACUGAGUCGACAUGAAGAUUUUAACCUUCGCCUCCUCAGUUAGAAUGUCCUUAAAUAAGGGCAAUUGUAAGACCCCAAUUUUGACCCUAAGAUCCCUCAUGCAAUUUCAUCAUAUGAAUUAGCAUUGGGAUCAUACCUUGGCAUCCUCCUUACCUCUCUCUCAUUGGGUUUGUUGUAGGAGAGAUCACCAAGAACUUUGUGAUUGUAUCAUACUUGUAUUUUAUCAUUUUACUAACCAAAAUAACAAAAAUAUGCCUUUGCAUUUGCCUAACUCUUUUGUAGGUAGGGCAUGAUCUCCCUUGAUCUAUCAAGUUAAUAUCUAGGGUUUGAGACCCUCAUGACAAAGAGCACAACCAUGAAUUUAUGCAAGAAUGGUUAUGAGCAUCAUAUAUAAGUCCCAAUGAUUUCUACAUGUUAUGUUGAUCAAGCAUUCUUCAAGAGUUUGAGGGUAAUUUGCCUUGGAAACCCUAGUUUGACUAGGUAUCUUGAGUAACUUCUCCAACAAGCUAUCUCACCAAUUGAUCAAAUUUCUCAAGGUACACUUCAAAAUUCAUCAUCUUAUGCAUAUAUGAUCUACCAUUGGAAACCCUAGUUUGACUAGGUAUCUUGAGUAACUUCUCCAACAAGCUAUCUCACCAAUUGAUCAAAUUUCUCAAGGUACACUUCAAAAUUCAUCAUCUUAUGCAUAUAUGAUCUACCAUGAGCCUAGAAAGUCAAGAGAAUUGAAGGUUGGCAAGUUGGUUGAUGGUGGUUGACCAGAUGAAUUCAUCUGAUCAAAACUGGGUCUCCCUAGACCUUAUCUCCUACAAUUUUCACCAUAUGAAAAUGAUUCCAAGAGAAAAGUUACUCUAAAUUACAUUCCAAACAACUUUCAUGUUGAGACCUAGAGCUAGUUUUGCUUGUAAAAUCAUUUUAUAUGUGUAAACAUUAUAGGUCAUUUUGUCUAAACCCUAAUUUGAAAGUCAACUUUCACCAUAUGAAAGAUUUCCAAGUUGCACAAUCAAAUUAAAGAUGUCUAAUUCAACUUUGAUGUUUGGAGUGAGAGCUAAUUCAACUUUUAUGAGCAUGUGAUAUGAGACUACAUUAUAGGUCACUUUUGACCUAUACCAUUGAACAAGUGAUUUUUCCAAACUUCAAAAAUGCAUAACUCUAUCAUUUCAAAUCCAAAUGACAUGAAAUUGGUGACCACUUUGAAGGUAUUUGAAAGCGAUACAACUUUUAUGAAGACAUUUUUCUCAUUUGAAGCUCACAUAAAAAGUUAAGCAAAGUGGAAUAUUGAGAUGUAUGACUUGACACUUAGAAAAAAUUUCAACAUGUUGAAAUUGCCAAACUUCCACCUCAAAAUUCAUCAUGAUAAAAGAUUCAAAUGGAAAAGUGUUAAAAAUCAAAGUUGUUCCUCUUGAUCUAACCUUUCCAAAAAGUCUGGGUUCAUCCAUUUUGGACAAGAAUUGCUAGGGCUGCGCAUGGCAUGAACAUGGUAUCAUCAUUUGGCAAAGAUCAAACUUCAAAUCUUCACACACACUUGCCUUGCAAUCCAAGUUGAUUUCAGACUCUCUUACACUCAUUAGGCUGCGCAUGGCAUGAACAUGGUAUCAUCAUUUGGCAAAGAUCAAACUUCAAAUCUUCACACACACUUGCCUUGCAAUCCAAGUUGAUUUCAGACUCUCUUACACUCAUUUGUGGACCUAAAGCAACGAUCUCAUGGGCCUGUACACGCCCAUGCAUCCAUGCAUCAUCAAUUUCCAAUUUUGGAAAGUGAUUUGGAAGGUGCAAAUAUCAUGAGCUACAGCUAUAAAUAGAGACCUCUAGCAUCAUAAUUGAACACACACUCGCGCCAGCUUUGAUCCUAAACCCCUAACCCUUCCAUUUGAGAGGAUAAUCCUGAGAAUUUCAUCUUGAAAUUGCGUUUGAAUCUCACUGUUUUGAGAUUCAAAACUCCAGGGAUCCAAGACCUUUUAUGUAUUUCAUUCUACUCCUGCAAGCAUUCUGAGUGAGAUCAAGCACGAGCCAAGGCAAGAGCAGUUGAAUUCAGACCUACAUUGAAGAUAUUUUCCAAAAAAUUUCAUCUCUUUGAUUCUCUCUCAAUCUUGCUCAAUUCUCUUGAUUCUUUGAUUGUCUGAAGUCCUACCAAUGUAGGCAAGAAGAUUGAGUUGCUUAGAGGUCAAAUCGAAGCAACUCAGUUAACAUACCUCAAAAUUCUACUCCUCAUAUCUUUCUAUAUGUGAGGAGUUAGUCAAAAUUGAGGUGAUAUUCGUGACCUACACCAUUUUUCCUUUCAGAUCAUGUCCUCUUUUUUCAUUUUUGAUGUGGUGAUGAAUGGACCAGUCCGGCCAAGGUCGCCUGAGAAGACGACAAGCGCUUUGCUCCGACAAUGAGGGUGCAAGGUCCAGAGCCAUUGGAUUGAUUCAAAAUGUUUAAUCGGGAACGUUGCUUGUGAUGACCAAGUGUGUGGCACGCUGACUAGCGUGUACCAUGGAACGCGCAUUUCUCACCACCUUAUUUGCCACCUCAAUUAAUGAGGCAGAUCAAGUGCUCCACGUUUUUUUAUUUUCUGAUUUUAAUUUUUAUUCCUUUGAUUUUCAUUAAUUCAUAUUAAUUUUAAUAUUGAUCCAAAAAAUAUGAGAGUUUCACCCAAAAUUUUCAAAUAUUUUCCUCUUUCAUAUUCUGAAUUAAAAUUAUUUUUUGGAUCAUUAUUAAUAUUUUUCAUGAUUUAAUUGAUUUUUCAUUUGUUUUUAAUUGUUUAAAAAUACUUUUAAGUCUUCUAAAAUUCUGAAAAGUUUUCUCCAAGGUCCUUUGACCUUGUUUGACCUCUGAUAAAUCUCAUGACCAUUUAUUUUGUGUUUUGAUGAGGUUUUAGGAAUUUGAUAAGCCAUAUUUAAUUUAAAUGUAUUAUUUUAGUAUUUUUAAUUGGAAUAAAUGCCAAAUAAUUUUGUUGACCAAUUGUGUUGACUUGUUGGUGUUUGACUCUUGUUGUUAGGCCUUGGUCAAGGUUGAUUUGACUUUGUCAAAUUAAUAUCAUUGGAUUUAGGGGAUUGAUGGAAUGUACAUUCCAUCUCCCAAAAUGAAUGAAUAAUAUUAAUUUGAUAAAAGUCCUCCUUUGAUCAAUUUGAGAUUUCAUCUAUUCCCCUCCCUCUUCAUCUCAUUCCCCUUCUUUAUGCAUUCAUCUCAUUUGGCCUAUGAUAUCUCAAAGUCCUAAAGCUAGUUGAUUGAAAAAUUAACAUGACUAUGGAUGAGAUUAGGCCACACCUUUUACAUAUUCUUUUUGUGUGUGGUAUGUUUCAUGAGCAUAGUUCAUAAUACUAUGUCUCUAACAUGCAUUAAGACCAAAAUUCUAUUGCCCGGCCUCAAAUAGUUGUGACUUCUACAUAAGUCCAAUUAUGAUUGCUUAACAUAGCGCUAAGUUUGUGACAUAAAAGGCAUAACAUUCUAGUUAGUGAGAUUGUAAGUCUCCCUUCUUUCAUGGUAUUGUGUGGAAACUUUUCAUUUUUCCUUUCCUUUGGAAGAUGUCUUGGUUUAAAGAUCCAUGCUUGUGAUAAGUAGGUUGAGUGUUCUCCAAAGAAUGUCUUAGAAUGAAAAGCAAAAACAAAACAAUACUAACUUCUAACCUAUUAACUACUAACUUUUAAUUUCAAGCCAUUUACUUUAAUGCCAUUUAAUUCUAGCUUUUAUACAUUUGCCAUUGUUCAUAUCAUUCUAAUUGUUUAAUUUCAAGCCAUUUACUUUAAUGCCAUUUAAUUCUAGCUUUUAUACAUUUGCCAUUGUUCAUAUCAUUCUAAUUGUUUAUGUUAAUGCAAUUUUCACUUUGUCCACUUGGACCAUAUUGUGUGAUAUUUCUUGUUUGUGUAUACUUUGCUUGUUUGUGUGGUCUUUGACCAUUAAUGUACAUAAUAACAACAAAAACCCUAAAAAACUUUUGUAUGGACUGUUGGCUUGAUCUUGGACAAAUGGAAUUAGAAUUUAGGCAACAUUCCUAUGCUAAAGGACUUGGCCAAUGCCAACUUAUUGAGAAGCAAGUGCUUGCAAUUUGAACUUCGUCUAAUACAUCAUUCAAGAUCUCUCUGAGUUCAUCUGCAACAUGAUCAUUGUGAAGCUGUUUUUUUGAACAUGUGACUUGUGAAAUUCAUCUGUUACAUGGGCUCCCUUGAAGAAGAUCGUGGAAUGGAUAAGCUUGGAUGUGGCCAUCUUUAUUUGAUGUAUUGCUCUUCAAGAUAAUAUAAUUGUGCAUUUGUAUGUUGCUUGAUUCUAAAAAGUCCAAAGGGAAUUCUGGGUUUCUAUUGACAUUCUUGUCUAUUGGAUUGCUACCCACUUGGUCAGAUCUUUUCAACUCUAAACUUUUAAUUUUGUACAUAGGAUUAGUCUCUUCAUCUUCUCCCCAUUUCUUAUCUAUUGGAUUGCUACCCACUUGGUCAGAUCUUUUCAACUCUAAACUUUUAAUUUUGUACAUAGGAUUAGUCUCUUCAUCUUCUCCCCAUUUCUUUAAUUUCAAAAUAUCUCCCUCCUUUUUCAAAAUCUUCUUUGAUUGAACUUAUUUUUUUCUAAACUUUGACCAAUUUUGCAAAAAAGAUAGAAACUUUGGCCUUAUGCGAUUGCAUUUUCAAACUUCUUUUCUUAAAUGAAACUUGUAAAUGGACUUAACUAUACUUGACUUAAACUUCCAAAAAGCCAAAAAGAACUAACUCAUUCAAACCAUUUUUUAGGCCUUUGUGCCUUUCAAACUUAAUUUUUGUUAAAAGUAAUGUAUCCACUUUGAAAUUUGUAUCCCGAACUACGAGGUUUUGAUCCCUCAUUUUUAUGUUGGUACGUAGGCACAAGACCAAAGGUCUUGCCAAACACAAAAAUAAAAUUAAUGAAUUCUUUUCUCAUCCCCCCAUUAUAUUUGUCUGUAAACAUCACUUUCUACCAAAUACAUAUGCACACAAAAAGGGCUCCCUAGGAGUACCUAGGACACUUUGGGUGCUAACACCUUUCCUCUGUGUAACCACCCCUUUUACUUGUAAUCUCUGAUAUUUUAUUAGUUUUGAUUUGAAAACUUCUUACUUUUGGGUUUUGUUCGUACUUUUUCCCUUUUUCCUUGGAAACAAUAAAAGCGCGGUGGCGACUCUUGUUAUUUGAUCUCUAGCUUAUCCAUAGCUUGAUGAUCAUGAAUUUACUGCUACAGUUAAUACAAGUAAAUGUUAGUAAAUGAUGUUAGUAAUAAAAAAUGAAAGAUGGUUUGGUCAUUUUUUGGAGAACACUCAACUAUUCUCCCACAAGCAUGAAAGUAUGAACCUAUACAUCAUUAUGAGAAGGGCUCUAACUUAGAUAAAACUCGACAAGUAUGCCACUAGCUCUCACAAAUGAAAAGGGAGCAAUAUUUUCAUGCAAUACCAUGAGGAAUAUGAGACUUACAAUCUCACUUAUAAAAAUGACUUUGCUUUCGGGACAAAUUUAGUGCUAUGUUAAGCAAUCAUAAUUGGAGUUAUGUAGAAGUCACAACUAUCUGAGACCAGUCAAUAAUAAUGUUAGUGUUAAUACAUGCUAGAGAAAUGAUAUGUAAAUCAUUCUCCUAAAGCCAUGCCACACAAAAAAUAAGAAAAAAACAGAAUAAUCAAGCAUAAAGGCUAGGAUGAUGAUCCAUUACUUCAAUCCAUACUUCAUGACACUUUGGGACGAACUUAUGCAUCACUCGAAAGUACCUUAAAUUAUCCAUGAUCAAUUAGGAGGUAGAUUUGAAAUAAUGAAAGUUCAUCAGAGAAGUUUCAGAAACAAGCAAGCCACGGAAAAAAAUUAAAUGAUGAACGCGAUCAAUCAACACCAGCUAAGUUAGAGGAAAGCAUCAGAGAGUGAAAGACUACAUUAUGGUAACUUGUUUGAGUUCAAAUGAUGCUCAAAACUAUUUUGUCCAAAUGGUGAUCAGAAGUUGAUGAAUCUCUAUUUGGUUAGAGCACUUCAGAAGGUCUCAGAGCUUGGGAAUUGUUGCAAAAGUUUUAAAGGAUGCCGAAAAUGCUAAUGGAAUCAACAAAUUGGAUUGAAAUAAGCUGAAACUAAAAAUACGAUAGUUAAUUUUUUCUAUAAAAUUUCAAGUUGCGGCAGGGAUUUCUUGGCUCUCAAAAGCUUGGAAAUGAAUGCAAUAACUUCCUUUAUUUAUAGGGAGUGUGUUUGGAUCCAAAUACGUGUGGAAUGAUGUUGAAUUCGUGCAAAACGAAUUUGAUCCGAAUGUGAGAAAUGUGUGACUUGUAACUCAUUAAAACUUAGCCAAGUGAUACAUUUCAAUGGUCAAUUAACUUCUGGAGACUUUGUUAAACAUGUUUAGGUCCAAAACACAUGCUAAUUUGGCUUGUAAUUAAGAUUAGUGAAGUUCAAAUUUCUGGCAAUGGUGAUUUCUUCAGUUCCAAGUCACCAUGUUCAACCUAAUAGGGCAUCCUACUCAGGAAGCUUUUUUAUCCCAUUUUUUUGCAAUGUUUUGACAUCAUAGCAAAGAUUACAAUAUGCCAAUAAAGGUUGCAUUUGGAUGUUUGAGCACAAAGUUAUGUCAUGUUGAAGUUGGCAUGAAAAACUGAUCGUAUAACUUAGAAAAAUUUGAGUGCUCCAUGACUAAAAAUGACUUGUAAUGUCUCAAUGAAUUCCAUGGCCUUCCAAGUAUAUUUUGACCUUGAUCCUUGAAGAAAACUUGUAAAGCGCAUCAUAAAUGACAUUGAUCUAGAAUAAUCAGCCUCAAACGUUGAAAAUUUAAGAAGUUAUGAUCUUUGAAAUUGAGAAAAAGUCACUUGAAAAUAGGUCAAAUUUCACUCCACAAAUGACCUAUAAUGUCUUCAAACUUUUGAUGAUCCUACAAGCAUAAUUGGUUCUUAUCAAGUAAAUAUAAGUUGUAGAGGAUGUUGAGAAGAGUCAUAUGCAAAAAGAAGAAUUCAAUUUUUUUGAGAAUUGAAGGAGUUGUGAUCCUUGGAACUUUGAAUUCAAAUGUUGACUUUUUGGUCAAACCACUUGGAACAAGCUUGUGUAUUUGGACUUUCCUUGCAUGUCAAAGCACAUAGGAGAUCAUAUGAACUCAAAAUAAAGUGCCCUUAACUUCCUCUUGAUUAAAUUUUUCAAAGUUUGAAGUUUCUUGUUGAAGUGGAAAUAAGCACAUGAACCUUUGACUUUCCUUUAGAAGUAAGUAACAAAACUUUGAGAUGCUCUUGAUUGAAAACCCCUACCUUGCACAAUAAGUUUAAGGAAAUUGAGCAUAUUUUUGAUAUUUUGAUUAGUGGUUAGAUAAGUAAUUAAUUAUAUAAACACAAAGGUAAAACACCAACAAAGAGGUGCUUGGUGAUCCCUGCAAGAAGCAAACCCAAAGAUGAGAGGGAGAGGGACCAAGAGGUGACCUUGUUUGUGUGCAAGGAUGCCAAUGAUAUGUGGGAUCUUAGGUUUAAAAAUUAGGGUAUGACAUGUAGGCCUUGGAUCCAUAUUGUAGGCGCAGUUACUUCUACUCUCCAUUAUAAGAUGAAGUUUGCAAUCAAAGGAAAAUUGAUCAUAGUAUCUAGUGAAGAAGACAUGUUGAUCAACCAUCUUUCAUUGUUCCGGUAUGUAGAGAAUGAGGAAAGGGACUUGGAUACUUAUUUCCAAGCCCUUGAAAUUGCUAAUGUAGUAUUCUUGGAGGAAAAGAACCAAGAUGCAACUGUGAGCUCGUCAUUUGCUUCUUUGAAAGGGGCUAAGGCAAUGCUUAAGAAAGGGAACCAUGAAGGUUGGGGCAAGGUGAUCAACAUGCCAUAAAAGAGAGAUUGCUUAGGAGUAGGGUACAAGAGUCUAAUAGAGAGAUAUGUCCAAGAUCCUGCAAAGACCAAAGUCUGAAGUUUCCAAGAGGUGUUCUACAGUGUUGGUUUCAUCCAUGACUAUCAAGUAGUUGCUUUAGAAGACAUCAUGAUGGCUCAUAGGACACCCUGUCUGGUGUACCACUAUGUUAUUGCUCUGGACAAUUAGGAAUCCAUUGAUUUACACAAAGUAUUUCAUUUUCCAAAGUAAUUUGUUUUUUCUCAAAUCUUUUUGCUCUGCCCAAGGGUUAAGGAUCAUAUGUAGGGCCCCUUUGUCUUAAAUGAUUAUUAUCAUUACUAAAAGCAUUUUGUCUUAAGAAAAUGGCAACCUUUUUGAAGAACUACAAAAACUUUUUUUUCAUUUUAUUGUUUUCCCACUUUCUAAAAUCAACAUUAAAAUCAUACAGAAGCAUGAGGACACCUGUUGAACUCGUUGAACUCAAUAACGCUACAAUAUCUCAUAACUUUAAACAUCUCCUUAACCAAGCUAAAGAGGAGCAUGAGGACGAGUGUGAUUUUCCUGGAGAGAUGGCAAGGCUACUCGAGCACGAGGCCAAAGUUAUUCAACCGCAUCAAGAGCCGAUAAAGGUCAUCAAUCUGGGAAUAAAAGAAUAAAAGAGAGAGGUAAAGGUUAGGAAUACUCUCGAAGACAGCAUCAAAGAGAGGUUGGUCAAGCUUUUAAAAGAAUAUGUGGAUGUGCUUUCCUGGUCAAAUCAAGAUAUAACUAGACUAUACACAAAUAUUAUGGAGAACCGACUACCACUUCGACCAGAGUUCCCGCCUAUGAAGCAAAAAUUUAGGAGAACCAGACCCGACAUGCCCAUUAAGAUCUAGGAGGAAGUCAAGAGACAGUUCGAUGCAGGAUUUUUUAGCAGUGUCAAAAUACCCUUAAUGGGUCGCUAAUAUUGUACAUGUUCCUAAAAAGGAUGGUAAAGUAAGGAUGUGUGUUAAUUAUAUGGAUUUGAACAAAGCCAGUCCAAAGGAUGACUUCCCUCUGCCACAUAUUGAUACACUAGCGAAUAACACUGACAAGUUUUUUGUCUUCUCAUUCAUGGAUGGGUUCUCAGGAUAUAAUCAGAUCAAGAUGGCUCCUGGAGAUAUGGAAAAGAUCAUGUUCAUCAUUCCAUGGGGAAUGUUUUACUCUAAGGUGAUGCCCUUCGAUCUAAAGAACGUUGGGGCAACUUAUCAAAGAGCGAUGGUCACCCUCUUCCACAACAUGAUACACAAAGAAAUAGAAAUAUAUGUCAAUGAUAUGAUUUCCAAAUCAAAAAUCAAAGAGGACUAUAUGGAUCACUUGCAGAAGUUGUUUGAGCGUUUGCGGAAGUUCAGAGUUCGGUUGAAUCCUGGCAAAUGUACAUUUGGUGUCUGAUCCAGAAAAUUGCUUGUGUUUAUCGUCAGCCAACGAGUAAUUGAAGCAGACCCUAUCAAAGUCAUAAUUAUUCAAGAGAUGCCCACUCCACGUACAGAAAGAGAAGUCAGAGGUUUCCUAGUAAGAUUGAAUUACAUCUCUAGGUUUAUCUCUCACAUGACAGCUACAUGUGAGCCUAUGUUCCAAUUGCUAAGAAAGAAUCAAGCGGUAAAAUGGAAUGUUGAUUGUCAAAGAGAUUUUGAGAAGAUACAAUGCUAUUUGAAAGAACCUCCCAUCUUCGUUCCACCUGUUCCCGGAAAACCACUCAUUAUGUAUCUGACUAUUUUAGAAGAGUCAAUGGGUUGCGUACUGGGGCAACAAGAUGAAACGGGAGGGAAAGAGCCUGCUAUUUAUUACUUGAGAAAGAGGUUUACUGAUUGUGAAACCAAAUAUUCAUUCUUAGAGAAAACAUGUUACACACUAGCACGAGCCGCACGCCAUUUAAGAAAGUACAUGAUAUGUCACACUACUUUGUUGAUCUCAAAAAUGGAUUCGAUAUAGUACAUUUUCGAGAAGCCUGCCUUGACCGAAAGACUUGCCCGUUGGCAAAUGCUACUAUCUGAGUAUGAUAUCCAGUACGUCACCUAAAAGGCCAUCAAAGGGAGCAUAUUGGCAGAAUAUCUUACACAUCAUUCUUUGGAAGAUUACCGUUCCAUAAAGUUUGACUUCCCAAAUGAAGAUAUCAUGGUCCUAAAAGAGUGUAACAUCCCAAAUACUGAUGUACCCGAACAUGGACAUGGUAUUGGAGUUGUUAUAGUCUCUCUGAAUGGUGGUUUCACCCUUUUUACAACAAGAUUGUGUUUUGAUUGUAUGAAGAAUAUGGAAGAACACGAGGCCUGCAUCCUCGGUAUUAAAUCCUCAAUCGACCUCCGCAUCAAAAAUCUUGAAGUAUAUGAGGACUCCACUUUGGUAAUUUGUCAAAUCAAAGGAGAAUGGGAAACUUGUGACUCCAAGUUGAUUCCUUAUCGCGCUUAUGUCAGAGAAUUGGUAAAGUAUUUCAAUGAUAUUACUUUUGAUUACAUUCCAAGGGCAGAAAACCAGAUGAAAAAUGCUUUGGCUACAUUGGCCUCAAUGUACCAAGUUAGAUUCCGCAAUGAAGCUUCACUAAUUAUAAUAUAGCAAAAUACUGAGCCAUCCUAUUGUCAGUCAGUCAAAGAAGAAAUCGAUGGCAAUCCAUGGUUCCAUGAGAUCAAAUGUUACCUAGAAACACAAGAAUAUCCAGCAAGCACUUCAGCUAUAGAUAAGAAGACUCUGAGAAAGUUAGCAUCCAAAUUCUUCUGAGUAAUGGUGUGUUAGAAAAAAGAAAUCAUAACAUGGUCCUGCUCAGAUGCGUGGAUAGACAUGAAGAGGACAUGCUAAUCAAAGAAAUCCAUGAAGGGUUAUUCGGAACUCAUGCCAAUGGGCAUGCCAUGGCGAAGAAAAUUCUAAGGGCUUCCUAUUACUGGUUGACAAUGGAAACUGACUAUUUUUGUUAUGCCAAAACUUGCCACAAGUGUCAGAUUUACGCCGAUAAGGUGCAUGUUCCACCUACUCCUCUGAAUGUUUGAACAUCCCCUUGCCCAUUCUCAAUGUGGGGUAUCGACAUGAUUGGUGCCAUAGAGCCUAAAGAUUCUAAUGGUCAUCAUUUCAUCUUGGUCACCAUUAAUUAUUUCACGAAAUGGGUGGAAGUUGCUUCCUACACCAAUGUGACGAAACAAGUGGUUUCCCGCUUCCUCAAGAAAGAGAUUAUUUGUCUCUAUGGAACUCCUAGCAAGACCAUCGCAUUUAAUGGGACAAAUUUGAACAACAAGAUAAUGAAAGAUUUAUGUGAAAACUUCAAGAUUGAUCAUCAUAAUUCUUCUCCUUAUCGUCCAAAGAUGAAUGGCACUAUUGAAGUCGUAAAUAAAAACAUUAAGAAAAUCUUGUAGAAGAUGGUAAAGACUUAUAAGGAUUGGCACGACAUGCUACCAUUAGCAUUGCAUGGAUACUGGACAUCAACAUGUACUUCAAUAGGGGAAAUCCCUUUCUCUUUGGUAUAUGGGAUGAAAGAAGUUCUACCGAUCAAAGUAGAGAUCCCUUCAAUGAUAAUCUUGAUGGAGGUCGAGGUUGAAGAGGCUGAAUGGAUUCAAAACAAAUUUGACCAGUUGAACCUCAUUGAUGAGAAGUGGGUGAUCUCUUUAUGCCAUGGGAAAUUGUAACAGAAGUGACUCAAGAGAGCAUUUGAUAAGAAAGUCUGCUCUCGAGAAUUCAGAGAAGGUAAUCUUGUGCUCAAGAAGAUCUUGCCUAUACACAAAUAUUCACGCGGAAAGUGGACACCAAAUUACAAAGGCUUAUAUGUUGUUAAGAAAACUUUCUCUAGAGGAGCUCUAAUUCUUACAACGAUGGAUGAUGAGGAGCUUCAACAUCCGGUAAACUCCGAUGCAGUCAAAAGAUAUUGUGCAUAGAAAAAAAGACACCUGGCUAAGUCAAAAACCCGAUAGGGUGACUUAGGCAAAAAGGGGCAUCCUGGUGGACUGAAAACCCGAAAAGGCGGUCUAGACAAAAAUUAUGGAUAUAAAAAAUGUGUGAGUUCGCUAAGUUAAAAACCCGAAAGGGGGAUUUAGGCAAAAAAGAUCAUCCCAAUGGAUUAAAACCUAAAAGGAAGAUCCAAGAAAAAGUUAGGGAUUUUAAAAGGAAAAUAUACUGCAUCAGGAAAGACUGAUUGACGCAGAAGAACCAGCAACAAGGAGGAUCAAUCUAGUUACUCUUUUUAGAAGCAAGGUUCUAGGGAUUCAUGGUAAUAUGGAAAGUAAUGUUUAUUGUGAUUUAAUGUAAACCUGUUCCCAUUACCAUUUUCAAUUUAUUUCAAUUUGUAAUAUCUAAUAUAGAGCUACACUUUCAUGCGCUACCAUUUUAUGAAUGAAAGUUUGAUUUAUGAAUAUCUUUCCACUUUUGUAUUCCUUUAUCUUUUUAAUUUGCAAAAUAUCAUUUACUUUUGAUGAUAUAAUUUUGAAACUAAGGAAUAUUAAACAUAUUAAGAUACACAAAUACUUUGAAAUUUGAAAUGCUUAAAGAGGAAAUUAAAGUUUUCUCAAAAGACCAUGAAAUCUUAAAACACUCUUGGAACACUACCAUAAGAAUAUUCCUGAGGGGGCUCGAUCCAUAAGUUUUCCAAAGAGAUUGCUAGUUCAACGAAUGACUGGUAUACUUAUUAGUAAAGCUCAGAAGCAUCCAUAUACUUCAAAUUUUGGUAGACUGUAGCGGUAAAUUCAUGACCAUUAAGCUAUGGAUAAGCAAGACAUCAAUAAAACCAGAGUCGCUACCGCGCUUUUAUUGUUUUCAAGGGAAAAGGGAAAAGUACGAACAAAACCCCAAAAUAAGAAGUUUUCAAAUCAAAACGAAUAAAAUGCUAGAGAUUACAGGUAAGGGGUUGGUUACACAGAGGGAAGGUGUUAGCACCCAAAGUGUCCUAGGUACUCCUAGGGAACCCUUUUUUGUGUGCAUAUGUAUUUUGUACAAAAUGAUGUUUACAAACAAAUAGAAUGGGCGGAUGAGAAAAGAAUUCAUUAAUUAAAUUUUUGUAUUUGACAAGACCUUCGGACUUGUGCCUACGUACCAACAUAAAAUGAGGGAUCAAAACCUCGUAGUUCGUGGUAUAAAUUUCAAAGUGGAUGCAUUGAUUUUAUUAAAGAUUAAAUUUGAAAGGCACCAACGCCUAAAAAUGGUUUGAAUGGAUUAGUUCUUUUUUACUUUUGAAAAUUUUAAGUCAAGUAUAGUUAAGUUUAUUUACAUGUUUGAUUAAGAAAAUAAGUUUGAAAAAAGCAAUGGCAUAAAGUCAAAGUUUCUAGUUUGCAAUAUGGUCAAAGUUUAGAAAAAAACAGAUACAAGCAAAGAAUAUUUUUAAAAGGAGGGAGAGAUUUUGAAAUUAAAGAAGUAGGGAGGAGAUGAAGAGACUAAUCCUAAGCACAAAUUUAAAAGUUGAGAGUUGAAAAGAUCUUACCAAUGGGCUGCAACCCAAUAGACAAGAAUGUCAUAUAGAAACCCAAAUUCCCUUAGACAUUAGAAUCAAGCAGCAAACAAUGCACAAUAUAUCAACUUGAAGAGCAAGGCAUCAAAUAAAGAUAGCCACAUCCAAGCUUAGCAACUCCAUGAUCUUCUUCAAAUUUGCCUAUGUAGCAGAUGAAUUCCACAAGUCACAGGUUCAAAAUAACAACUUCACAAUGAUCAUGUUGCAGAUGAACUUCAAAGGGAUCUUCAAUGAUGUAUCAGAUGAAGUUUCAAAUUUCAAGCACUUGGUUUCAUAAAAGUUGGCAUUGGCCAAGUCCUUUGCAUAGGGAAUGUUGCCUAAAUUCUAAGUCCAAUUAUCUCAGAUCCAACCAACAGUCCACACAAGAUAUGUUUUAGGGUUUUUGUUCUUAUUAUGUAUAUUAAUGGUCAAAGACCACACAAGCAAACAAAAUAUAUACAAACAAGAUAUAUCACACAAUAUGGUCCAAGUUGACAAAGUGAAAAUGGCAUUAAUAUAAACAAUUAGAAUGGUAUGAAUAAUGGCAAAUGAAUAAAGCUUGAAAUUAAAUUGCAUUAAGGUAAAUGACUUGAAAUUAAAUGUUAGUUGUUAAUGAGUUAGAAGUUAAUAUUGCUUUUGCUUUUGCUUUUUAUUUUUAAGUCAUUCUUUGGAGAACACUCAACCCACUUAUCACAAGCAUGGAUCCUUGAACCAAGGCAUCUUCCAAAGGAAGGAAAAAAGGCCAAGUUUCCAUACAAUACCAUGAAAGAGGGGAGACUUACAAUCUCACUAACUAGAAUGUUAUGCCUUUUAUGUUCAAAAAUUUAGCGCUAUGUUAAGCAAUCGUAAUUGGACUUAUGUAGAAGUCAUAACUAUUUGAGGCCAAGCAAUAGAAUUUUGGUGUUAAUGCAUGUUAGAGACAUAGUAUAAUGGACUAUGCUCAUGAAACAUGCCACACACAAAAAGAAUAUGCAAAAGAGAUGGCCUAAUCUCAUCCAUACUUAUGUUGAUUUUGCAAUCAACUAGCCUUAGGAUAUAGAGAUAUCAUAGUUCAAAUGGAAUGGAUGCAUAAAUAAGGGGAAUUAGAUGAAGAGGGAGGGGAAUGGAUCAAAACUCAAAUUGGACAAGGGAGGACUUUUACCAAAUUAAGAUCAUUCAUUCAUUUUGGGAGAUGGAAUGUACAUUCCAUCAAUCCCCUAAAUCUAAUGAUCUUAAUCUAGCAAAGUCAAAUCAACAUUGACCAAGGCCCAACAACACGAUUCAAACUCAUACAAGCAAUCAAAAAGGCUAAACACAAUUAUUUGGUAUUUAUUCAAUUUAAAAAUACUAAAAAUAAUGCAUUAAAUUAAAUAUUGUUUGUCAAAUUCCAAAAACCUCAUCAAAACACCAAAGAAAUGCCAUGAGAUUUAUCAUAGGUCAAACAAGGUCAAAGGACCUUGGAGAAAAAAUUUCAGAAUUUUUGGAAAUUUAAAAGUAUUUUUAAACAAUUAAAAAUAUUCACAAAAUCAAUUAAAUCGUGAAAAAUAUUAAUAAUGAUCCAAAAACUAAUUUUAAUUCAAAAUAUGAAAGAGGAUUUUAUAUAAACUUUUUUGGUGAAACUCUCAUAUUUUUUGGAUCAAUAUUAAAAUUAAUAUGAAUUAAUGAAAAUCAAAGGAAUAAAAAGAAAUACAAAAAAUACAAAAAACGUGAACCACUUGAUCUCCCUCAUUAAUUGAGGUGGCAGAUCAAGUGGCCAUCAGCGCGCUUUCCACCAUAGUCACUAGUCAAUGCGUAACACAAGUGCUAAUUACAAGAAACACGUGAGAUUAAAACAUUUUGAACAAGAUCAAUGGCUCUGAACCUAUCCGGCACAUCACCGGCGCUGAAACUCCGGUCACCUUCUCAGGCGAGCCUCGCCGAACUGGUUCAUUCAUCAUCAUCACAUAAAUGAAAAAGGAGGACAUGAUCUGAAAGAAAAAAUGGCGUAGAGCACGAAUCUGACCUCAAUUUUAACUAACUCCAAAUAUAUAGAAAGAUAUGAGGAGUUAAAUUUUGAGGUGUAUCAACUGAGUUGCUUCGAUUUGACCUCAAAGCAACUCAUUCUUCUUGCCUACAUUGGUAGGACUUCAGACAACCAAAGAUCCAAGAGAAUUGAUGAGAAUUGAGUGAGAAUCGAAGAGAAGAAAAUUUCUGGAAAAUACCUUUAAUGUUGUGCAGAACUUGAUCUUGCUUGCUUCAAUCCUUGCUUGAUCACACUCAGGAAGCUUGCAGAAGUGGUUUAGCAAUGGAAUAAAGCUUUGGAUCCUGGAGUUUUUGAAUCUCCAAAUAGUGAGAUUCAAACUCAAUUUUCAAAAUGAAAUUUCUCAGGUUUUCCUUUGAAUUGUGAGGGUUUGAAGAGAGGGGGCAAAGUUGGCGCGCAAAGGUCCUCUCAAAUGAGCUCAGAGGGCUUGUAUUUAUAGCAAUAGGGAGUGAUAUUUGCACACUUGAAUUUGCAUGGGUGUGUACAGGCCGCUGAAGCAAUCCAUUUAGGUCCAAAUGCAUCUGAAAUGAUUUUGAAAUGAAGCUUGAAUGGCAAGGCAAUGCAAUGUGAUGUUUUGAACAUUUGAUCUUUCCACUUGAUGCAGACCUGUUAAGACCAUGUGCAGCCCUAGCAAACCUUGUCCAAAAUGGAUGAAAUAUGACUCUUUGGAAAGCUUAGGUCAAGGGGAACAACUCUUAUGUUGAACACCUUUCCAUUUGGAACUUGUAUCAUGGUGAAUUUUGAGGUGGAAGUUUGGAAAUUUCAACAUGUUGAAAACUUUUCUAAGUGUUAAGUCACAUACCUCAAUAUUCCACCUUACUUAACUUUUCAUGUGAGCUCCAAAUGAGAAAAGUGUAUUCAUCAAAGUUGUAGCUCUUUCAAAGAACUUAAAAAUGGUCACCAAUUUCAUGUCAUUUGGAUUUAUAAUGAUAGAGUUAUGCAUUUUUGAAGUUGAGGAAAAUCACUUGUUCAAUGGUAUAGGUAAAAAUUGAGCAAGUUGUGAUCUUAGGAAGUUGACUUUGAAAUUAGGAUUGAGACAAAAUGACCUAUAAUGUUUCAACAUAGAAGAUGACUUUCCAAGAAAAGUUAGCUCUAGACCCCAACAUGAAAGUUGUUUAUAAUGUAAUUUAUAGUAACUUUUCUCUUGGGAUCAUUUUCAUAUGAUAAAAAUUGUAGGAGAUAGGGUCUGGGGAGACCCUGUUUUGAUUAGAUGAAUUCAUCUGGCCAACCACCAUCAACCAACUUGCUAACUUCCAAUUCUUUUGACUUUUUAGGCUCAUGAUAGAUCAUAUAUGAAUAAUGUAAGACCCUAAUUUUGACCCUAAGAUCCCUCAUGGCAUCAUAUAAUUGCUCAUUGCAUUUUGCCUCAAGGAUCACAACAUCUUGGCUCCUUACCCUAGGGUUGAGACUUGUGUGAGUGGUUUGAGACUACCAAGCAUGCUUGAAUUGUAUAUUAUUGAUCUUCUUAUUCUAUUUACUAACAAAAAGCACAAAAAUAUGUCACUAACUUCUUUUGUUUUGAAGCUUAAGCAAUCAUGAGAUCCAAGGCUCUUAGUAGGCUCCUAUGCUCAUUGAAAUGACCAGAUGAAGAUGAAAGCAAGCAUGACAAUGGUUCCCAAAGCUCUCAAUCAUCAUAUAUGUCUCCCAAGCAUCUCAACUUUCCAAGUUGAUCAAGAUAAACCAAAGGGCUUGAGGAUUGUUUCCCAAGGAAACCCUAAUUCAACUGUGCAUUGAUUGUGCCUUGCUCAUGAAGCAACCUCAAC
rnacentral:lncRNA from 1 species